rnacentral:lncRNA from 1 species
UUUUUUUUUUUUUUUUUGUAUAUAUAUAUAUUUUAUAUUUCUAUCUCAAUUUCUAGUUAAAUAUAAUUCAUCAUAUUUAAAAGAUUUUUAGUUUCAAGUUAGUAUAUGAAAAAGGAGUUAACGUUGAAACAACAUGAAUAAUAGAUAAAAAAAAUAAUAAAAAAAAUAAAAAAAAUGUGUCUAAUAAAUUUAAACAAAAACAAUUAAAAAGAGAAAUGAAAUAAAGGAAAAAAUAAUGAAAAAGAAGAAGAAGGUUUACUAAGCCCAAAAGUUACAUUUUCCAAAGCAUUAAAAAAAAAUAGGGAAAAAUGUUGCCAAGGGAUUUGAACCUGUGACCUAGGGGGCACAUCUCAACCCACUUAUCCACUGAGCCAAGCCUGUACUUUGUUUUCAAAGGGUUCAUUUUAAUAUAUAUACCCAUAAAAUCAAAAUUUGACAUUAUAUAUAGUGUAAUUUUUUGACGAGGGGGUUCGGGUGAACCCCCUGGAGUCCACCUAGGUCCGCCCCUGGUGGGGGUGGGGCUGGGGUUUAUUUUUACUCAAGCAUGCUUUUUUUAUUUUGUAUUUUAUUUUAUUUUCAUAUCAGCUUUUAGGAUGAUAUUAAAUUAGAUCAACUUUUGAAUAGUAAUGAUAUAUAAUUGAUCGUUAUGAUAAUUUAAGCAAGUAACUGAUUCUUUUAGGACAAGUUCAAAUGAGAAUUUAUGUCUUUUUCUUAUACUUAUAAUAUUAAUUGUUUUGUCAAACAUGCAUUUCAUGGUGUUGUUAAAAAAAUAUGCACGUUUAAUUUUUAUGAUUUAUUAAAUUAAAAUAUCAUUAAUUUGAAAUCUAUAUAUUAAAGAAGUUUGUUUUUUUUCUAAACCAUGUUAAAGUAUUUGCCCAUUUCAUUUAAAAACUUGAACUUUUUGAGAGAGAUCACUAUGAAAAAUAUAUUAGGAAAUAACUUUUAAAUUCAUUGUUGAUCUUUCAGUUCAUAUCUCGUAGCUGACAAGAUUUUUUUGAUACUUUAUCAUUAAAUAAGAACAACAAUGAUUUUUUCACUGCUUAAUAACACAAAUAUUUGUACAUAAUUAAUUCCUAAUUUAUUUUUAGCAUGUAAUUAUAAUUGAUAACAUAUUUUUAUUUACUUAAUAAACUUUUGAACAUACACUGUGUAGAUAUUCUUUAUCUAUUAUACCGAAUGAGACUUUAAAUCUCAAUAUACCCAUAACAUGUAGCAAAAUAACUAAAAAUUGAUUGACAAAGACAUAAUUAAAGGAGACAAUAAUUAUUUUUCCGACCUUGCUAUAGUAGAUAUAUAUACCUAUCUCGUUUCUCAUGAUGUAGCAAAAUAACUAAAAAUUGAUUGACAAAGACAUAAUUAAAGGAGACAAUAAUUAUUUUUUCGACCUUGCUAUAGUAGAUAUAUAUACCUAUCUCGCUUCUCAUGAUGCACAUUAUUUGAGUCAUUGUCAGAGAGUUUCUUGACAUUAAUUUUGGCUAAAUAUCUUUCUUAAUGAGAAAAAUAAUUUCGGUUCCAAUCAUGUUCCUCUAUCAAAACAUAUUGAGGAGUCGGUCUGGGAUAAUAAUAAGUUUGCAUACUAGGUUUUUGAGUAUAUUGAGUAUUAUCACUAUUCUUCUUGGAAUACCCGCGAAGUUUAUUAAUUUCUAAAUCAACUUGAUUUUUAAAAUCAAAAGUGAUUUUCAUAUUAUCUGCAAAAUAGUCGGAUAAAUCAAGAGGUUUAGCUCCAAAUUCAAAAAAAAAAUUAUCAAGAAGUUUUUCUAAAUCAUAAAGUGGUUUAAAUACAAAGUCCUGAAUCUCAGGGGAUCUUUGCACAUGAGUAGAAAGUUCAGAAAGUGAUUUGGACGUAGAUGCUUGCUCAGAAGGUUUUAAUUCCUUUUUAAUUUGAAUUAUUAGCGCAGUUAAGCAAUGAAAGUACCUGUAUUAUUAGGUAGUAUAAAUGGUGCCUGAGGAGGAUAAAUAGCUUUAAUAAUAUUACCUGAUUCAUGAUCGUUCAAGAACAUUGAUUAAUAAAGGCAAAUAAGUGAUUAAUAAAGGCAAAUAAGUGAUUAUAAACCAUUGUACGAAAAACAUAAUAUGAUUAUGUAAAGCACAAGUCUCAUGAAAUUCUUGAGAAAUAUUAUGCAAAUCCUUUGCACUAUAUGUGUCAAAAAACCAAGUUUUAAAGUGGCUCCAUUUAUCACUUGCAAAUUCAUUUUGAAUAUAUUUUCUUGCCAGUGAACCUGGACUAAAAUCAAUUUGAUGUCCACUUAUCAUUAAGUAUCAUUAAGGUUAAAAUCCAUUUCGGAUGCAUAAGGAAUAUCUUUAUCAAAAAUAUCAUUUAUCGUUUGUUCGAACAAUAUUUAAUCGAGGAUCAAUUUUAAUUUUAUUUUUAUCCGCAGUUAUAACAAAGGAUAGUGUAUGCAAAGAAGCAACACGAUUUCGAGCUGGACCAUAAACAAGAUCAAUCGGCGAGAUGUGUUGGAUGGCAAGUAAUCUUCUAUCAGAAGAAAAUGAAUGUCUAUUAUAAGGAACACUCUUGUCAUCAAACUGAAUGCAAAUCUUACCAUCAACAUUUUGAGUAAUGUGAGAAUAUUCAGUAUUAGUGACAUCAUCAGUCAUCUAUUCUGGAGGUAUAACAGAGUCUAAAGUCCAAGUAGUAGGAAAAUUAAUCUCUUCCCAUUUUAUAGGUCUUCUAGUAGUGACCUUAGAUUUAGCAAAAUUAGUUUCAACUAAAAUGGUUUGAUCAAAUGUAUCAUAUAAUUUACAUCUUGGGUUUAACGUAACAUGCAAUUUAUAAUAGAUUCUAUAAGAUAAACAAAUUAAUUCACCAGGCGCAUAAUUAUAACCAUGCGUUUUAACAUUUAAAGAAAAAGCAUCAAGAAUAUUAGAAUCAGUCAAAGGUAACUGCAAAUUAGGUUGAAUAUUAAAAUAUCCUAGGCCAUAAGCUACCGUGGAUUCUAUCGAACCCAUCAAAGAUUGUUGAAAAUUUAAAUUUCUUGCAUCACGAAGAGCAGCUAAGAAAGUUUCAGGUAACCCUUUAAGAUUUAGAGGUUUAAAAGCAAUUUGUACCAUGUCAAUAUGCAAGAAUUUAUAUUAUGAUUUAUAUAAGUCAAUAUCGCGCUUAUUCAACAAACGAAUAGUUUGUUCAGACAAAUUUAACGCUAAAGAUUUCUCAGUAGUUUUUAUCAAUUGUUUAUUAGAGAUCUUAUCAAACCAACCAUAAUCAUAAAUGGUUUUUAUAUCAACUUUCGGAAUAGUCCAUUUGUUUAACAAAUCAAGGUUUUGAGGUAUAUCUACCUCUUCUAAUUUGGUACUUUUAGUACUAGUAUCUCCUAAAUCCAUGAUUAAGAGAAUAUAUCUAUGCCGAACUUCACAUCAAUUUCAUAUUACCAUGAAAGUUCCUAGGCUCUGAUAUCAACGUUACAUGAUAUCUGACCUGGCGGAUAUAUACCAUAUAGGAAUCACAAUAUCAAAAAAUAUAAUUCAAUGUGAUUAAUUCGAUAUCUAUUAUAUCAUACACAUCUACUUAUCUUAAUUAUUGAUAAUCAAAUUUAUUUUUGUUCACUUUUACUUCUCUGCUAUUUCAAAAAUAGUUCUUUACGACUUUUAACAUAUAAAGAAAAUACAAUUUUUUUUCCUCAUAUUUUAUCCUUAACGUUAAUUCCUUAUUCUUCAAGUUAUUUUUCAAAGCAUAAUAGAAAACAUCAAUUAAUAGAAAUAAUAUAGUAAAAUAGUCACGUCAAUCAUUAUUUUGUGUCAAGUCAUAUAUGACAAACAAAAACAAAUUUUAAAAAGUAUAAUAUUUAAUGUACUAUAAGAUUUAUACCUAACAAUUAUUACUCAUUAUAUUAAUUUAAUACAUCACUUUCAAACCAGCAAUCAAAGACCCCAAGUUAAUGGCUCAAAGGCCGUAUGAGGGAAGGUAGGAAAUAAAGCUACAACGAAUUUUCGUAUUUAUUGAGUUCUUGUCUUAAUCAGAAAGUUGUUAUUCCGAUUUUUUUAGAAAAUAAUUUAGUAGUAGUACCUAACUCAUAUAGAUUAUUAUUUUACCAUAGAAACUAGACACUUGUAUUAUUGCAUCAAAAAAUCAUAUAGUUUAAACUUUAAAUAUAUCCACAAUAUCAUGUACAAUUUAAUAUAGGAAAAAAUUCUUUCUAGAAAUUCCCUUCAGUGAAGAAAUAAAAAAGUACAAACUAUGAAAGUGGCCAUUCGAUUUUUUAUUUUAUUAAAAAAUUGAUCUAAUUUUCAAAAUUAUCGAAAUCGAACAAAUACGUUCUUCUUCUUCCUUCCAGUUUUGUCAUCAAUGACUUAUUUUCCUUUUUCUUCCUUCUUCAUUAUCAUCUUCUUGUCUUCUCCUUUUUUCUUUUUCUUUUUUAAUUCGACAUAUAAAAAACAAUGAAUUGUUUAGAGUGAACUAUAUAUGAUGAUCAAAAGAUUCAAAAUAUUGAGAGGAUUUCAUAUAUAAUUUUGUUGGACUGUUUAAAGUGAUUUUGAGUUGAUCGGUAUUGAAUAGUCAGUAUAUACUUUAUGAAUAGUCAAUGUAUAUUUCAUGUAUAGUUAAGUUUUAUUUAAUUUUUUGAAUGUAUCAUAAUAUACCGUCAGUGUAUAACUCAUGUAUAGGCUAGUUAUAUUGUAUAGUUAGUGUAUUUUUUUUUUCUUAUGACUUUUGACAAGAUAUGGUAUACAGUUCGCGUAUACUUUUUAUGACUUUUGACUAUUUUUUAUGUAAAUAAAAUAUGACUAUAUCUGUUAUAAAAUUAAUUACUUUAUUAUGUAUGUUUGAAACUAGUCCAAUAAAAUUUUUGGUUAAAUUAUAAGCUAUUUUAUUCAAACAUUAUAUAUAUAUAUAAAUCAAUAUAAUCAAACAUGCUUGAAAGCAUCUAAAUAUUUUCACACAAAUGCUAUCUCCCAUUAAGAGUUUUUCUUAAUAAUUACUUAUUUGAAAGUAACUUUGCAACAACCAAUUUUUUCCAACGUAUUUCCAUAUUUAUAAACCCCUUAUCUCAUCCAAAAAGUUAUGUUUCGAUUCGUUAGAUGCUCAUGCUAUGGUAGUACCUAACUCGCAGAAGACUAUAUUUUCAUUUUUUCAUAAAAGCUAGACACUUCGUAUAACUACAUCAAAAAGUUACAUAUUUUAAAUAUAUUAUAUUCAAUAACAUCAUGUAACAUUUAACCCGAGAAUAACCUCUUCGAGGAGUCAACAAAAAAAAAAAGCAUACAAAUAUCUUCACACGUUACUUCUAUCUCCAAUCAAACUUUUCUUGGUAAUUUUGGAGCAAUUAAUUUUUUCCAACUUGUUUUCGUAUCUAUUGAACUCUUAUCUUAUACAAAAAGAUAAUGUUUGAUAUUUUAGAAAGUAAUUUGACGUGCAGAGAUUGUUUAUACAAUGUGAGGAUCAUAUUAAAGAAUAGUUAGUUAUUGAUAUUGUUGAUUUAUUGGAUCAAAUUUUACAUUAUGUCUAUUUAAAAAUUUGUAAUAACAUGUAAUUGCAAAUAUAUUUAUUUAUAAAGAAAACACGAAGAUAUCCAAUUUAUUAAUUAUCUGACACCUUAUUACCUUGUUAAUAAACUAUAUGUGGUUUGCUUGGUGAGAUUAUAAUAGUUUUGAUAAAUUUUGGGGGUUUUCAUAUUUAUGGAUUUUUUUUUUAAAGAAUUCUAAUUGCAUGUUAAAUAAAAUUGAAGUUUUUGCAAGAAUUUUCCCUAUUUUGGGUAGUUUUAAAUAUUUUUUCCAUUCGAUUUCCCAAUAGCUAUUAAUCCCAAAAUUCAGCACCAACAUAUACAAGGAGGUGGAUAGUCUUAAUUAUCUCUGCCUCCAAAAUCAUAGCUGCAACCUAAUUAAAAUUAUGUUCCAACAAAUAGCAUCUAGUAGCCUUUAAUUGUCAUCCUUAAAUAUAAAUAAUAGUUUUAAUUUUUGCCUAUGUUGGUCAUUUAAUAAAAAAAUUACGGCCAAAAUACUCUUAUAUAUGACCUAAUUUCAAAAGACAAAAAGCUUUUGCUUUACCCUACACAAAUUGUGUAGUAUCUUAUUUACAAGACACUGUAAAUCGACAAAAACUUUGUAAGAAUAAACUAUUACUCGAUCGAUCUUAAGACAACUUUAUAGGUUCCGAAAUUGAAUGAAUACUCCUAUCAAAAUUAAAUUUUACAUGAACUAAAUUAUGUCUUAUAAUAUGACAUAAGCUACAAAUUAUGAACUUCUUAGGAUAUAAACAUAACGUUCUAAAAUUAGACCUAUGCCUCUGUCGUCAUAAGAUCUAAGUUUCUCCUUUUUAAAAUCCUUUUACCAACCCUUUUUUUGUUGUUUAGCUUAUGAUAUAUAGUUAACCAACAAUCUUUCGUUUCUUUUUUUACAGAAUAAAUCUGAGAAAAUGGUCAAAUGCCCCCCUAAUCUAUUAGUCAAUUCUCAACUACACACCAAUACUUGGGUCACUAUGAGGAGUUAGGGUUUUUUUUUUUUGUAAAGAAGAAGAGGGUUGAUACUCAAUUGAAGAUUAGACAUGGUGGUUAUGUUUGGAAUUGAGAAUUUAACCUAAUUAAAAGAAAAAAUGUUAAAAAAGUGGGUCCAUUAAAUCUAAAAUAAAUAUAAAUAGGAAAACAAAAUUGAAGAAAAUGGGCCCGCCUAGCGCGUGUGCACAAACAUUUGGGUAUAUCUGGGUAAUAACAAAAGAUGAGCGUUUAAGGGUUACAAAAUAUCAAAAAUAAAAGGUUAGGGGGUAAUAGGACCCCCGUGAAGGGGGUAAUGGAAACGAGUAACCAUAAUAUAUAUAUAUGGUUCUCUUUCUCAAGCUCAAAGAAACGCCUUUAUUAAACCAUUACAUGAAAAGAAAUAAAUUAAAACGACACGUAAAAUUAAACCAUAAAUCUCUCAAAGCUCAUACUCCUCACAAUCCAUGAGAAUCCAUUUUCCAUCUUCUUGUUUAACCAUCCCAUUGUGCUUCUCCACCCACCAAGCUCCAGGUACCAAAUAUUCAUCUUUUAAGAUGUUCCAUAUCCUGUUCACAAGUGCGAGAUGGCGAUUCACCUCUAGUUUAAAACCAUCUAAAGGUCCAAUUCCUUGAGUACCAUCAAUUCCGUGAAAGUAACCUUCCAAAUUAUGCCUAGUGUGUGGGUCCCCAGGAUUCAAUUUUUAAAUAGGGGGAUUUUGUGGUGUCAAUUACUAUUUCCUGUCCAACGUCGAAAUACCCAAUGGAUGGGUAUUUUGGUACAAUAUCUAAUAAGUUAUGAAUUCUCAUGAUGUGAAGAUGUUUCAAUUUGUUAAAUGCGUUAACAAAAUUGAGACCUCCAACUUUAGGACUUGCGAAUACAAAAGCUGUCACUGAAAAUUCCUUGACACUGCUUGUUUUGUUGAUUCCGUUGUAAGCUAUGUCGACUGCAUUUAGAGUUGCAAGUGAUAAUCACCCUGAUCCCUAAUUUCCUUGAGAAUAGUAUCCUGGAAAUGCAUGGUAAAUGAUUUUCUUUUUUAGUUUUUUUUUAUGUCGUUGGAUGGAAACAAAUUUUAUUUAAUGUACAAAUUACUUAAACAACUCAAAAAUAUACGGUGACAAUAGCUGUAAAAAAACAUAUUUAUUACAUUAGGAAAAGAGAAGGCAUACUAUAAAUAUGAAAGGUGUAGAAGAUUAUUAAUGUCAAGAAACUAUAGCAGACAAUGACCAGAAUACUGUGCAUAAUGAGAAACAAGAUAUUUAAUUUUAAAAUUUGAUCAUAAGUUAAUGUUUUACGAAAAUAAAAUCAUGAUUUUAUAAUUUUGAAUUUAUAGUAUAUUUUUUUGUUUUAAUCUAUUUGCUUUAGUAAUAUUAACUUAUAUUUUAACACUAUAUACCAUUUAUUCUUUUAUUAAAAUUGAUAGAUUAUCUCUUUCUCAAAUAUUAAAAGAAUUUUAUCGUGUAUAUUUAUUUAUUUAUUUUUAAAUUCAAAAUGGCUUAUACUAAUUAUAGCGAAAAGGCAAAAUAUCCAACUCUGAACUUGUUUUAAAAAGUUGAUUUCACACUCAAAUUAAUUUAGCAACCUAUUAUACCACCCCAAAUGUACUAAGUUAGUCCCAUAAUCUAAUGUGAUUUACACGCAUCUGUCAGAUCUUUGCAAGCUUACCCGUGUAAUUUAUUUAUUUUAUUUUUUCUCAAUUAUUUUUGUUUUUAUUGAUACAACUAUUAGUAAAGUCAGACAAUAACUUCAUUCAAUUUAUUUUUUUCUAACCGCCAUCCAAAAAUUCAAUACCAUCACAAUCUUAUUGCGCGACAUCUAUCAUCAAAUAUCACACGCUAUUAAGGUCACCAAAAAUCACCAAACAUAACUACCUAUUUCACCAUCUGACACUCAAAGAACAAUUAUCAACAUUUAUUUACAAAGAUCUUAGUCGAACAAUUGACAAUUUAGUACUCGAUUUACUAUCACUAAUUUUGUGGAAAAUUUAGAAAUGAUUUUCUUAAGAGAGAAGAAAGAUCUAUGAAAUUUUUUACAUUAAAAGAUUGGAUUUUGUGCAAAAUUCAAAAACUUUUUACAAAGAAAAGGAAAGGUAUGGAAAUGUUCUAACUUCAUGUGUUCACAAUCAAUAAAAAAGAUAAAUAAAUUGAUGAAUUUGAUGAUGGGAGUGGAAAUAGUAAGAAUUGAUCAAUUUUAGAUAUCUCGUAGAAAUCUUUUUCAACCAGCAAACCUAAUUAAUUGAACAACUUUGGAGAUUUUUAUAGUGAAUUUUGACCCUCAAUAUUGUUUUAUGUUUCUCUCAAAAAGUUACCAUGAAAAAAAAAUUGUUUGUUUCAUAAACACCAUAGUAAAAUGAGUGCUUGUGAUAAAGAAAAAAAGAGGAAGAAAUAUAAGAUGGCGUGAAGAUGAAGGGGUGUAUGUGGGGUUUACUUUUACUUAAACACGCCUUUUUUAUUUUGUAUUUUAUUUUAUUUACACGUCAGCUUUGAGGGUGAUAUAAAAUUCAUUUUUGAAUCGCCAUGAUAAUCUAAACAAGUAACUCACUUCUCAAGACAAGUUCAAGGAAAAAUUUAUGUCUCUUUAUUUUACUUAUAAUAUUUACCGUUUUGUCAAACAUGCAUUUCAUGAUGUUGUUAAAAAAUAUGCACAUUUUAGUUUUAUAUUUGAAAUUUAUAUAUUAAUUACUUUUUAUAAUAUUAGUUAUAAAUACAUGUUCAUUAAUUAAUAUAUUUUCAAUAUAUAGUAUCAAUCUUAGAUACCUAAUCUAAUACUUUAUUUAUGAAGGCACAUAUUCUGUCAAAAUUAAUUUAAAUUUUUUAAUAACAACUCUUAUUUUAAAAUUUUGAUUUAAAUUGUCAAAUAUGCAUUCCACUAUAUGUUCUUAAAAAAUAUGCACUUUCAAUUUUUAUGAUUAAUCAAAUUAGAAUAUUAUUCAUUUGAAAUCUACAUAUGAAUUAUUUUGUAUACUAGUAGUAGUUAAGAUUAUAGGUUUAUUGAUUCAUAUAUUUCCAGGAGACAAUAUCUAUCUUAUGUAUAUAAUUUAAUCUCCAUUUAUGAAGGCACGUGUUUAUUAAAUAUCAAUAUUUAUUUUUUAAUAAUCAACUCUUAUUUUAAAUUUUGAUCUAGCUAAUUAUACAAUUAUAUUUAUGUAAUCAAAUAGUACGCAUAUAGUUAUACUGUGACAAAUAAACAGGUCAUCAAAAUUAUUAUACUAUAUAACUAUUUAAUUGUGUAAUUAUUGCCUUAAUAGUCAUAUCAAUUUUAUUUGUCAAAUGACUUUUCAAAUCAAAUUUAUGUUGUAGCCCAACAAGCACACUAUCCAUCCUUCAUAGUGAAACUUUUCCCUUAUUAAAAGUCAUAACAUUUCAUCUUAUUUAAAAGUUUAAAUUAUUAAAUGAAUUUUACUUUUAAUUAUUAAAUUAUAUCUUUAGUAUGUUUUUCAUAUUCAGACGUUGAAUUUAAAUUUUUCAUAGAUCAAGAUAUUAAUUGAUGAUGAAACUCGAAUCUAAGAAGUUCACUUUUUUUUAUAUACUAUGAUAAAAUAUUUGACUAUUUCAUUUUAAAGCAGGGAUUAUUAAAUAGAGAAUAUUACUAUAAAAUAAAUCAGGCAGCGAUUAUUUUUUCAUUGUUUAAUGACAACAUAUUUGUACAUAAUUAAUUCCUAAUAUAUUUGUAGUAAGUAAUUAUAAGUGAUAAUAUAUUUUUAUUUACUUAAUUAUUUUUAAAUAUAGACUUUACUAUAGUAGAUAUUCUCAUGAAGCACAUUAUUUGGGUCACUGUCAGAGACAAUUUCUUGACAUUGAUUUUGACUAACAUCUUUCAUAAUGAGAAAAAUAAUAUUUUUGGUGUACGUCUUUGAAUUAGCUACUAUUAAUAAAGAGUAUUUCUUUUGUUGAUAUCAGACACCAAAAAAAUAAAAUAAAAUAAAAUAAAUACAUAUAAAAGAUUCUAAUAAACAAAGCUUGUAAUAUUUGAUGAAGAUCAAAAGGACCAAAAUCACGUAUAGGAUCGGAGUAGAAUAUUUAAGAACUUUUUUAAAAUUUACCCUAAAUAUAAGGAUCGUGUUUUAAAUUUUCUUUGGCACGAUUACUUUCACCAUCUUAUUUAUUAAUAAUGAUGAAUAAAUGGAAAAAAUAUUCUUUUGACAGACGAAAAAGAGAAAGGAAGUACUCUGAAUACAAAAAAAUAUUCAUUCCAAUUUCCACCUUAAUUAUUAUUGAUUUGGCAUAUGUACACUGAAUACGUGAAUUUCAUCCAUUAAAAGUAGACAACAUGUUGUGGGGGUAAAACAAUAAUUUACUUUAAGGAUGGGUAUGAUAUGACAGGGGCGGAUUUAAAGGUGUCACGUGACACGACUUCGUCGGAAAAUCUUAUUAAAUAAGUAUAAAUAACUGAAAAGAAAAAAAAAAUGUAAACAAAGAACAAAUAUAACAAAGUGACAUUCCUUGUACCAAAAAUGAGCGUAGCUAAGCUGGUUAGGGUUCUUCAAUACAUGUUGUAUGUUGGAGGUUAGAACCUCAAUAGAGCCACCUUUUCCUUUCUUAGUUUAAAUUUAUUUCGCUACCCAAAUCAAAAUGCUAAAUAAUUAUUAAUUUUUUAAUAUAAUAUAAUAUUUUUUGUUUAUUUAUUUUUAUUCUGAAAUGUGAUAUUUAAUUUUUUUAAUUUAAAUUUAUUUCGCUACACAAAUCAAAAUGCUAAAAUUAUUAAUUUUUUAAUAUAAUAUUAUAUUUUUUGUUUAUUUAUUUUUAAUUUAAAAUAUGACACUGCUUAGGAAGAAUCCUGCGUACGCCACUGGAUAUGAUUUGUACGAUGUUUAAAAUUUCGAUUCAAUAAUUUUAUUUUAUUUUUCAAAAUGUUAUAUUGUUAUUAUAUUAAAUUAAUUUUGUAAUAAUUUAAUAUUUUAAAGUUUGUUUUUAAUAUUUUAUGAGUUCAUAACUAUAGUCUGUUAUAAAAAACUGUCUCAACUAAAUCAAAUGAUUAUAUCAUACUAAUUAUAUAUAUAUAUAUAACUAUACACUUCGUUAAUAUAUUCAAUAUUUCAAUAUUUUAUUUAUAAAUAGUGAAUACUAUAUCAAAUAUAAAAAAUAUAUUUAAAUAUAUAGCAUAUAGGAAUCACAAUAUCAAUUUUUUUAAUUCAAUGUGAUAAUUCGAUAGCUAUUGUAUUAUACACAUUUCUAUUUAUCUUAAUUAUUGAUAACCAUAUAUUUUUUUUAUUUUUACUUGUCUGCUAUUUCAAAAAUAAUUACUUGCCAUUUUUAACAUAUGAAAGAAAAUACAAUUUUUUUCUUCAUAUUUUAUCCUUAACAAUAAUUGCCUAUUCUUUAAGUUAUUUUUUAAAACAUAAUAUUAAACAUCAAUUAAUAGAAAUGGUAUAAUAAAAUAGUCAUAUCAAUUAUUAUUUGGUGUCAAGUCGAAAUAUAUGACAAAUAAAAAUAAAUUUUAAAAAAUACUAUAUUUAAUGUACCAUUAGAUUUAUACCUAACAAUUAGUACUCAUUAUAUUAAUUUUAAUACAUCACUUUCAAACCAGCAAUCAAAGACCCCAAAUUAAUGGCUCAAAGGCCGUGUGAGGGAGGGUAGGACAAAAAGCGACUUAACUUAAUUUGGAAAAAAAUUAAUUCAAAAGAUCUCCAUCACCGAAAAAUAAAUAAUUUCACUAAAUUAUGAGCUAAUUUAUUCAAUUAUUUAAAAAUAUAUAUAAAAUUAAUGUAAUUAAACAUGUUUAAAAGUAUCUAAAUAUCUUCACAAGUUACUUUAGUCUUCCGUCAACUUUUUUUUUGGGUAUUUACUUGUUUGUAAGUAACUUUGCAACAAUCAAUUGUUUUCAACGAAUUUUCGUAUUUAUUGAGUUUUUAUCUUAUUCAGAAAGUUGUUAGUCCGAUUUUUUAGAAAAUAAUUUAGUAGUAGUACCUAACUCAUAUAGAUUAUUAUUUUUCAUAGAAACUAGACAAUUGUAUUAUUGCAAUAAAAAAAUUAUAUAGUUUAAACUUUAAAUAUAUCCACAAUAUCAUGUACAUGUACAAUUUAACUUGAAGGAAAAAUUUCUUUCUAGAUAUUCCCUUCAGUGAGGAAAUAAAAUAGUAUCAAAUUAUGAAAGUGGCCAUUCGAUUUUUUGCUUUAUUAAAAAAUUGAUCUAAUUUUCAAAAUUAUCGAAAUUGAACAAAUACUUUCUUCUUCUUCUCCUUCCUUCCAGUUUUGUCAUCAAUGACUUAUUUUCCUUUUUCUUCCUUCCUCCUCCGUCUUCUUCUUCAUUAUCAUCUUCUUGUCUUCUCCUUUAUUUUUAUUUUUUUAAUUCUACAUAUCAAAAAUAAUAAAUCGUUUAGAGUGAAUUAUAUAUCAAAAGACUCAAAAUAUUGAGACGAUUUCAUAUAUAAUUUUGUUGGACUGUUUAGAGGUGAUUUUGAAUUGAUCGAUAUUGAAUAAUCUGUAUAUACAUUAUGAAUAGUCAAUGUAUACUUCAUGUAUAGUUAAGUUAUAUUCAAUUUUUUUUUGAAUGUAUCAUAAGAUACCAUCAGUGUAUAGCUCAUGUAUAUGUUAGUUAUAUUGUAAAGUCAGUGUGUAUUUUUUUUAUGACUUUUGACAAGAUAUGUUGUAUAGUCAAUAUAUAUUUUUUAUGACUUUUGACUAUUUUUUAUGCAAAUAAAAUAUGACUAUAUUUGUUAUAAAACUAAUUACUUUAUUAUAUAUGUUUGAAACCAGUCCAAUAAAUUUAGUUAAGUUAUAAGCUAUUUUAUUCAAACACGUUAUAGCUAAAUAUGAAAUUUUUCGUAGCUAAAUGCUUUAGUCAUAAAUUAUUUUUUGUAGCAUUGGUGGCAAGAUGUAGGGUGGCUAAAAGUAAGCUACAGACUUUACAUUGUUCAUGGCUAAGGACUAAUACUUAUAGCUACUAAAAAAGUUAUGUUGUAGCUAUAAUAGUAAAAUAUUCUUGCUACGAAAUAUAUACUUGUAGCAAAUAUUCUUACUCUUUUGCCACAACAAAUUUAAUCUAUAACAAUUUUUAUAUUGUAGACACAAUAUGUUGUAUUGUGGCAAAUGACUUGAUUUAUUUGCUAUAAAAAUUUAAAAUUUAUGGCUAUUUUAUAUUUUUAAUUUUAUGGCAAUGAUACUUGUAUUUAUCUACAAAUUAAAAAAUUUAUAUUUAUAAAAUUAAAGUCUUUGCCACAAUAUAUUUCACAAAUUCAAACUUUUUGCCAUGACAUUCAUAAAUUGUAGCUAAUAAUUUUAAUUUUUCUAUGAAAAGUGAAAAUGUAUUUCCCUAUUUUUAAUAAUUACAUAUAGAUUUAGUCAUAACUACAAAAAUUCAUUGCUACAAAUUGAAGAAUACUACCAUAAGCAUUAUUAAUUGCAAGAACUUAUAAUGUAGCUAAAAAAUAAAUUCAACAAUUUUAUUACUACAAACGAAAGGAUUUUCCACACGCUUUGUUAGUAAAAAAAAGUUACAUAAUGUAACCACGAAUACAUUUCUCAUAUUCCAAAAUAAUUCUCAAGUUACACAUAAUUGCAUUUUACAAUUUUGAGAAUAGUCACAAUAUACAAUUCUUUUAAGACAUCAUCUUGUUUGAGUCCAAAGCGGUAUACUCUUCCCUAUGUCUCUUUCCACAAUCUUCAAUUGCACCUUAGCUUGAUCAACAUCGAUCCCAAUUAGUCAUUUAUAUGCUUUUAUUCUAUAAAUAUGCCUAUCAGUUAUAGGAAAUAUUUUAGCACUAACAUAACAAUGAUUUAGAAUUUCAAGGAGAAAAAAAUAUGUCUAUGGUAAUUGUUUUACAAAUAUGUUUAGUAAAUAAAAAAAAAUACAAAGUAAGCAAAGAAGUAUAAAACCCGUAACUUUUAAACUUCUUAAAAUCUGUAGAUAUAGAUCUCAAAUUUUAGUAUCAAGUAUAAAACUCAUGCCUAGUCAAAAAAUUUCUUUUACAUUAAUAAAAAUAUAUAAUCCAUUGUAAUACCCAUCGAUUCAAGCUAUGACAACAAUCUCUUGCAAACAAAUAAUAAUAUAUAAUUGUGUAUGAUAAAUUAUUUGUGGUUCAAUCUCUUCUUGAACCUAUACAUAAUAGAAAAUUUAAAGCAUACGAUUGAGUAAAACAAAAUAAAAACUCAUAUUGUAAAAACCUAUCUCAUCUACUUGAAGAAUGCUGUGUAAAACCUACAAAAUAAAAAUUAACAAAACAUUAGAAAUAAAAAAAAAAAAUAGAACAAAAAACUGGGAUAAAAAAGGAUGAAGGCCUAGGGAGGAGCAGACAAGAAGGAUACGGCAAGAGGGCAAGGAUAUUAGGUUUUUGUUUAUUGGGUUUUAAGAUUUUUAAUCUUUUGAAUUUUUUUAUUUGGGGGUGGGGGGGGGGGGGGGGACUUUUUUGGAUCUAAAUGGGGAAGUGGCUAGAGAGUUAAUUUAGGUGAAAAUUUAUGUUUUACUUUUAUAGUUAUCAUCUCUUAUUUGUAUAAUAGUUUUUGCUUCUUUGAAAAUUAACAAAUACAUUUGUUAUAAAUAUAAAAAUACAACAAUUGUUAUAUAAAAUUAACAAAUAUAAUAACAAAGAAAAUAAUCUCAUGAAAAAAACAAUAAUUAAUAUUAUUAACAGUACUAAAACCCAAUAUAUAUUGUACUUUAAGUUCAUGGAAAAGGUAAAUAAUUUAUAUGAAAAAAAUAUUAUUCUGAAAAAUAUAUUUUUUGAUCCUUUAUUACUAGGGAUGUCAGUGGAGAGGUGCGGGUUGGGGCGGUGCGGUGCGGUGAGGUCUAAGAAGGAUAGAGUGUACUCAGAUGGUAUCACUAUCUCGUGGAGGUAGAGAGACCAUUGACUCAUAUUAGUUGUUAACAUUAAUAAAAAUAGUAGUCCCAAAUUACUCGUCAAUUUAUUAAAUCAUGAUACAAUUAAUUACUUUUUUUUUUCAAUUUCCCUUACAAUUAACACUUUUUAAAAGUCUACACAAAUUUAUGAAGUUCCAGAUAAAGAAAAAUUAUGGGGUAAAAUAGUAUAAAUUAUCCUUUUUAUUUCUACUUUCUUGGCAUCCGUGUCAAGGAUAAAAUAGACAAUUAAUACAGAACAGAGAGAAUAAUGUUUAGUUAAAUUUAUGACCAGUGUUAAUUUUGAAUAACUUAUUUAAUUUGAAUUCAAAAUAUAAAAUUUAUAUGAAUUCAAAAUAAUUUUCUCUACCCCCAAAAAAGGGACAAAUUUGCGUACACUCAAGUAUCUCAAGACAUAUAUUGAUAAAAGUUCUUGUUAUGUUGUACUCUCGUCAAAUCUCAUAUUGUAGUAAUAUACUGAGUAUUUAUUAUUAUUAUUAUUAUUCUAUUGUUUUUAUUUUAUAUGAAUUUAAAAUGAUAUAUGCAUUAGAAUGUCAAGUUAAAAAUAGAAUAAAACUGUCAAUAUUAGAAAAUAUAUUUAAUCUAUUUAUAUAGAAUUGGAGAAGCAAAAUAAUAUUGUGAUGGCAAGUGUCAAUUACCAUACAAUUCAAGUUUGAAAAUAAUUUUAAGAUGAAAUUUUCGAAAGAAAAUAAGAAAUUCAAUACAAUUUUUUUAUAUCAACCAUGUGAAUUCAAAUUCAAGUUAAAUUGUUUAACCAUAAUGAAACUAUACUUCCACAUUGUUUAACUAUUUCAAUUUGAAUUUUUUAAAUAGAGAUGUGAAUUUUGAAUUGUAGUUUUAUAGUUUUUAUUAGAAAUGCAAAAAUUAUAUGGAUUAGGAAGUUAAGAUUAAACUAAGAGAAUCAAAAAUAAUUUUUUUUUUGUCAAUAAUAGAAAAUUAAAAAAGAAUUGAAUGUUAAUAUCACUUCUUUGUGUGUUGUAUUCAAUAAACAAUUAAUUUAUCUAUCUAUAUUCCAUAAUAAUUCAUAUUGCAUAUUUGAAUAAAAUAUGACAUUAUUUAAUGAUUUGUAAAUUGACUAUACAUCUUUUUUUUUUAUAUAAAAACAGUACAAAUACAUCCAAUUAAUUAGACAUAACUUCUAUUUAUUUAAAUUAUACUUAAAACUUAAAAAUUAAGAACUUGUAAAAUUGAAAUGAUAGAAAGAUUAAUAUCUCUAAUUAAUCUAGCUCGAUAAAUAUAUUUUUCGAUAGAAGAUGUUUGAGUCAUAUAACAUGAACUCUCAACACAAGAUGAAACGCCUCAACGCUUACGUUUCACCUGGUAUUAGAUAACAUGUGUCACCUCAAUUGUAUUCACACAGUUAUAUCAUUUUGUCAUGACAAAUAAUUAUAACCUUUAAGUUAGUUAUUGCAACAAUUUUUUGCUACUCAAAACAUAAUAUUUAUUAAGUUAUAAUAAUUUAUUUUAAAUUAUUUCUUAUGGAUAAAAGGUUAAUAUUGCUUCAACAAUUUUCAAUAAGAUAGUGAAAAAACUUAAUAAUUAACUAUAAAAUUGUAUUAUAGCAAAAAAAUUAUGAAUAUAUUUUUAAUAUUCUGCAACUUUUAUAACUUGAAAAAAGAACAUUUAGCUACAAUUAUUUCUUCAAAUAACUUACUAAGACCGAAAGGUUAUUGUUACUACGAUAAAUUCAAAUUCGUGGCAAAAAGUAAUUAUCAACUAUGAAAUUUUAUUAUAAAAGAAAAUCUAUGGCUAUUUCAUUUAAUUAUUGGCACAAUAUUUUAUGACUUGAAGCUAAAUUAUUUAUUUAGCUACAAAUAUUUCUUCAAAUAAGUUAUUGUGGCUAAAAUAUUAUUAUUACUACAAUAAAUUUAAAUUCGUGGCAAAAAAUAGUAAUUAGUUACGAAAUUUACUAUAGAAAAAACUCUAUGGCUAUUUCAUUUAAGUAUUGCCACAUCUUUUUAUAACUUGAAGCUAAAUUAUUUAUUUAGCUACAAUAUUUUGUUUCAAAUAACUUAUUAUGGCUGAAGAAUUACUAUUGCCACAAUUAGUUUUAUUGCAUAGCAAAAAAGUUAUAAUUAGCUACAAAAUUUUAAUGUAGCAAUAAAAUUGUAGCUAAUUAGAUAAUUAUUGCCACGAUUGUUACCAAUUAUAGCAAAUACAAGGAUUUAGCUUUGUCAACUUAUUAUUCGUGGCUAAGAAAUUUGACGAAUUUUUAGGUAGCCACAUAAUUUAAAUUUUUAUGGCUUUACUAGGUAAUAGCUAUGAUUUUUAAAUUCAUAGCUUAGAUUUCGUAGCAAUAAGUAUAUUUUCUUGUAGUGGUGGUGGCGUGUAGUAUUGGAUAGGCGUGGGGGGUGGGGGAGAUUUAACGUAUGGGAGGUUUGGAGUGUUACGGUAAUCAAGGAACUCUAAUCAAUGUAAAUCCCUAAAUUUGUGUAACUGAUAAAUUCUGUUUUAAAAAAGGAACUGCAAUCAAAUUAAUUAACUAUUAAUAAUUAAUAAUAUAAAAAUAUAAAGAGAUUAAUCAUUUAUUAAAUUAAAUUGUAAUUAAUUUUUAAAUAAACUUAAAUUUAAUUGAUAUGUUAUAACCCGUAAAUAAAUUGUUAUAAGUAAGAAUUUUUUAAGAGUAUGUUUAAAACCCGUAAUAUUGUCUCUUAAAUGUGUAUAUGGUGUGAUUUUUCCUUAAUUGAUGGUAUAAUAGGCAAAAAGAAAUUAUCCUUUUUUAAUUUGUCAAAAUAGACAAGUAAUUAAGGAUAACUAAAAACAAAAAAAUAGACAAGUAAUUAGGACAGAGGGAAUAUUAUCGAUCUUUGUGCGUAUAUUUAUAUCUAAAAAAUUAGUAUGGACAGAGGAAUUAAAUUCUUGAUCAUUGAUUAUAAUAAUAUGCUCUAUCUUCAUAGAAAUAUUAUUUUAUUCAAUAAGCAUAGUGCAUGUAUAAUAGUAUGUCUUUAUCUUACAUGGUUUAACUUUUAACAUAUUGGAUCUUAAUUUAUUACUUAAUUGUAUUGUAUCUUAUCUACUUGUACGAUAUAACAUGGUUUAACUUUAACAUAUUGGAUCUUAAUUUAUUAAUUGUAUCUUAAUAUACUUGUACGAUAUAAUUAAGAACAUUACUAAUAUAUAAAUACACAUAGAUAAAAUCUUACCGACAUUAGUUAAUUAGAUCCAAUAUCGCUAUAGAUUUUAGAGAUAUUUAUAAAAAUAUUAAGUGCUAUUAAAAACAUAAUUUUAAUGUUAAUUAUAACUAAAGAUCAUUUUCGGAGAAAAAAUGAGUAUCUUUCUUCCAACUUUUAUCAUUGAUCGAUGGAUCAGUGGAACUAUAUAUUCAUAUUUUAUUUUGUAACUAAUUACUACCAAGAACUACUUACCAUACAUUCUUAUCUUUAAGUUUUGAAUUCAUUUAACAGAUAUUUACUACUUGUUUAUAAAAAUAUCCAAUUUGAGGAUUGAGAUGUUUCAAAAUAUUCAAUUUUUCAUUUAUUUACAUGAAAUAAUUCAUCGAUUAAAUUUAUAACUCGCCUUAUCACAUCAUGCAUGUGAAAUAUAUCUAACAUAUGAGUAAAUAAUAAAUUUGAUUGAGUUCUUUUUAACGAUAGUCAUAAAUGAUGUGCUAAAGGGACUGAAAUUUCAUUAAGUACAACAUUUAAAUAGCCCUUCUUAAAUUCAUAAACAAUUUUAACUUAAGGUGCAGAAAGUACAACACACUCAUAUGUAUUAUUGCAUAUGAUGUGUUCGUAAUAACCCUUUAUUCAAACAUUACAUGGAAUUAAAGAAUAAAAUUAAAAUAGCAAGUACAUUAAACUCCAAAUUAAAUUAAACCUCAGCCACAACUAUGUCAUACUCCUCUCGAUCAUUGAGAACCCAUUUUCCAUCUUCUUGCUGAACCAUUCCUUUGUUCUUCACAGUCCACCAAUUUGCUGGGACAAGAUACUCACUUUUCAAUGCACCUGAAUAUUUGUUAACAAGCGCGAUAUCGCGAUCCACCUCUAGUUUAAAACCUGUGAAAAGUCCUAUACCUUGAGUUCCCGCAACUCCAUGCAUGUAACACUCUAAAUUAUGCCAUGUGAUGAUAUCUCCAGGGAGAUUUAAAUAAGGGGAUUUUGUGGUGUCGAUUAUUAUUUCCUGCCCAACGUCGGAAUAUCCAAUAGGUGGGCAUUUCGGAACAAGAUCCAAUAUGUUAUGAAUUCUCAUAACGUGAAGGUGUUUUAAUUUGUUAAAUGCGUUAACAAAAUUGAGAUCUCCAACUUUAGGACUUGCAAAUACAAAAGCUGUCACUGGAAAUUCCUUCCCAUUACUUGACUUGUUUAUUUUAUUGUAAGCUAUGUCAACUGCAUUCAGAGUCGCUAGGGAUGCACCUAGGCUAUGUCCAGUCACAGUUAUGCUCACCUCUUCAUUCUUAUAUUCCUCGACCAAUCUCUUCACUUCUUCAAGGACCUAUACGUAACGUACUUUUUAAUUAAAUGGCAUUAAAUCAAAAUAUAUGUACGAAUUCAAGGUCAAAAUUAUAUAUACCUGAUCUCUAGCACUUGUUUUAUUAAACUUUGAUCGUGCACUUUCUGAUGUAUAAACGCUGUAGAAGCCAUUAUGCACCAAUGGUUUGGACAAAGGAAGUAAACCCUCAUCACCAAACACUUUUGGUCCUGGAAUUGGUAAAAAUUGAAGGUCUUUAACCCACUCCAGUGCUUGAACUGUUCCUCUCCAAGCAAUCACAAUAUCCCUCCUUCCUAGUGAAACUUUACCCUCAUCAGUAGCCACAGCAACAUAUCCCAUAAAAUUUGAUUCCGUAAUGACAGUAUCAGGAAAUGGCAUGAAUAUAUGAGUAAAUAAUAAAUUUGAUUGAGUUCUUUUUAAUGAUAGUCAUAAAUGAUGUGCUAAAUGGUCUGAAAUUUAAGUAAGUACAAGUGUACAACAUUUAAAUAGCCCUUCUUAAAAACAUAAACAAGUUUAACUUAAGAUGCAGAAAGUACAACUUAAUUACAACACACUCAUAUGUAUUAUUGCAUAUGAUGUGUUCGUAAUAACCCUUUAUUCAAACAUUACAUGGAAUUAAAGAAUAAAAUUAAAAUAGCAAGUACAUUAAACUCCAAAUUAAAUUAAACCUCAGCCACAACUAUGUCAUACUCCUCUCGAUCAUUGAGAACCCAUUUUCCAUCUUCUUGCUGAACCAUUCCUUUGUUCUUCACAGUCCACCAAUUUGCUGGGACAAGAUACUCACUUUUCAAUGCACCUGAAUAUUUGUUAACAAGCGCGAUAUUGCGAUCCACCUCUAGUUUAAAACCUGUUAAAAGUCCUAUACCUUGAGUUCCCGCAACUCCGUGCAUGUAACACUCCAAAUUAUGCCAUGUGAUGAUAUCUCCAGGGAGAUUUAAAUAAGGGGAUUUUGUGGUGUCGAUUAUUAUUUCCUGCCCAACGUCGGAAAAUCCAAUAGGUGGGCAUUUCGGAACAAGAUCCAAUAUGUUAUGAAUUCUCAUAACGUGAAGGUGUUUUAAUUUGUUAAAUGCGUUAACAAAAUUGAGAUCUCCAACUUUAGGACUUGCAAAUACAAAAGCUGUCACUGGAAAUUCCUUCCCAUUACUUGACUUGUUUAUUUUAUUGUAAGCUAUGUCAACUGCAUUCAGAGUCGCUAGGGAUGCACCUAGGCUAUGUCCAGUCACAGUUAUGCUCACCUCUUCAUUCUUAUAUUCCUCGACCAAUCUCUUCACUUCUUCAAGGACCUAUACGUAACGUACUUUUUAAUUAAAUGGCAUUAAAUCAAAAUAUAUGUACGAAUUCAAGGUCAAAAUUAUAUAUACCUGAUCUCUAGCACUUGUUUUAUUAAACUUUGAUCGUGCACUUUCUGAUGUAUAAACGCUGUAGAAGCCAUUAUGCACCAAUGGUUUGGACAAAGGAAGUAAACCCUCAUCACCAAACACUUUUGGUCCUGGAAUUGGUAAAAAUUGAAGGUCUUUAACCCACUCCAGUGCUUGAACUGUUCCUCUCCAAGCAAUCACAAUAUCCCUCCUUCCUAGUGAAACUUUACCCUCAUCAGUAGCCACAGCAACAUAUCCCAUAAAAUUUGAUUCCGUAAUGACAGUAUCAGGAAAUGGCAUGGAUGAAGUAGCAUAGAAAUAUUUGGUUACGCGAUACUUCGAUGCAUCAAGGCCAACAUUAGAAAAAAGAUUUUCCAUCGAGUAUCUACUUGCUCCAGCAUAUUUUGAUGCUUUUUCUGAAAUGAAAGUGUCAUAAGUUACAUGAGCUAAUUCUCCAUAUUGAAUGAUAUAUUUACGUAGAUCAACAUCCAAGGGGUUUAAUAACCCUUCCCAAUUGUUUUUCCCACUAAGUUCCUCCCAUUUCUCAGCCAUGCUAGACAUUUUUUUUUUCUUUUUGUUACUCUUAGUUUUUUCUUGGUAUGUGAAGUACAUUAAGCCCAUGAAUUUAUAGGGAAGCAACUUCGUUGAUCUCUAAGGUUUUUCCAUUUUCAUGCAUGAAAUAUGUUUUGAUUUUAAUUUUUUUUAUUUUUGUGAAUUAUUGUCAUAGUCCAGUAAUAAAUGAAUUAACCAAGAAAGCAUUAAAACUAGUACUAGUAGGACUAAUAAUAAUGACUUCCAUAUUGAAUUUCUGAACUACUACCACCAUUAACAUUUUGCUGUUUGGCCAUAUGAAGAACAUUUUAGCAUAUUUGAAAUAAUAUAUAGAUAGUAUUAACUUCAAACUUCAAAUAUAGAAUUAAAUUGCAUCAAGUUUUAACUUGCAAAACUUCAACUCGGUCUAGGGUUAUGGUGGAGUGGUAAGUAAUUAGGUUUCCGGUUCGAGUCCUCUAGGUACGAAGUCGCCUUUUGUUAGGGAGCGCUUUACCUGACAUGGGACUUCCUAGCACGAAUUUAGAUUUAGUCGGACUCCGGUGAAAAAAAAGAAGCUCGAUCUGUUUUAAUGUCCAAAUUGAACAAACUUUUAACUUAAAAUCAACUUAAUUUACUUCGAGUGUUAACUUUGAUAAUUUCAACCAAAUUAUGUACAGACACUUUAUCCUUAGUUUGAAUUUGUAGAGGGGAAAAGUAAGUUCCAAAAUACCUACUAUUUAAUUUCAUCACUUCAUUAAAUGACACUAAAAAUGGAGUCCCCAUAAACUCCAAAGUUUUAACAAACAACUAACCAAAGUACUAAUGCUGAUGAACAAUCCCUAGAACUUGAAAGUCAUUGUACCAAAACUCUACUAACGAUAAGUCUAAGAACAAGGGGUACAACCCCGAAACUAAACAACACCUUAAACAAAUUUCUGAGUCCGAAAAGAGCGGACUUAAACAAGAGAGAUCCAUGGCGGCCUGAAAGAACUGGCUCACCCUUGAAUACGGUCACACUCAAUAAUCACUUAGCUGAGGUCUAUCAAUAGAACAACAAACAGUCUUUCAACCUCAAUCACCAUUAGAUAUGAACGUAAUCAACACAAGUAGAUACACAUCACAAUUCAAUGGUCCUCUCACGGAACCCAAUUCAAUGGUCCUCUCAUGGAACCCAAAACCCAAAUUGUUAGUGUACCAAUUUGUGGUACCCGAUCCAAUGUUUAUGUCGGAACGUGGCAACCGAUCCCAUGUUUAUGCCGAAACAUGACAACUGAUCCAUUCAACAAACCACAAUCACAAUCACAAUGUAUAUUCUCACAAUCAUACAACAAGAGGUGAUUCAUGGCAUACAAUUAUUCAAUUAUCCUAAUUUACGAUUAGGGUGAUCAAUAAUGAAACUUUCGCAUACAUACAUGCAUUAUAAUGAGCAAUUACAAACAUAUAUCACACCAACAUGAAAUCACAACCAACACCUAUACAAGCUUGAUUACUCAUCUCUUUUCUUUUUUUGAAUUUUUUUAUUAUGUUAUUUCUUGGUCUCACUACAAGAAAAUAUACUUAUUGCUACGAAAUAUAAGCUAUGAAUUCAAAAAUCGUAGCUAUUACAUAGUAAUAGCCAAAAGAUUCAAAUUUCGUGGCUAAUUAAAAAUUCAUCAAAUUUCUUAGCCACAAAUAUUAAGUUUACAAAGCUAAAUCCUUGUAUUUGCUAUAAUCGCUAACAAUCAUGACAAUAAUUAUCUAAAUAGCUACAAUUUUAUUGCUAAAAUAAAAUUAUGUAGCUAAUUAUAACUUUUUUGCUACCCAAUAAAAAUAAUUGUAGCAAUAGCAACUCUUUAGCCAUAAUAAGUUAUUUGAAACAAAAUAUUGUGGCUAAAUAAAUAAUUUUGCUUCAAGUUAUAAAAAUAUGUGGCAAUAGUUAAAUGAUAUAGCCAUAGAGUUUUGCUAUAGUAAAAUUUCGUAACUAAUUACUAUUUUUUGCCACGAAUUUUAAUUUACCGUAGUAAUAAUAACAUUUUAGCCAUAAUAACUUAUUUGCAGAAAUAUUUGUAGCAAAACAAAUAAUUUAGCUUUAAGUUAUAAAAUAUUGUGGCAAUAAUUAAAUGAAAUAGACAUAGAUUUUCUUCUAUAAUAAAAAUUCAUAGCUGAUACUUAUUUUUUGCCACAAAUUUGAAUUUAUCAUAGUAAUACUAACCUUUCAGCCACAAUAACUUAUUUGAAGAAAAAAUUGUAGCUAAAUGUUUUUUUUUCAAGCUAUAAAAGUCGUGGGAUAUUAAAAAUAUAAUCAUAGAUUUUUUGCUAUAAUACAAUUUUAUAGUUAAUUACAAGUUUUUUUCACGAUCAUGUUGAAACUUAUUGAAGCAAUAGUAAUUUUUUAUACAUAGGAAGUAAUUUAAAAUAAAAUAUAAUAACUUAAUAAACAUUAUGUUUCGAGUAGCAAAAAAUUGUUACAAUAAUUAACUUAAUAGUUAAAAUUAUUUGUCAUGAAAAAAUGAUACAACUAUGUGAGUACAAUUGUGGUGAUACAUUUUAUCUAAUACAAGGUGAAACGUAAGUCUUGAGGUGCUUCAUCUUAUGUUGAGAAUUCAUUUUAUAUUACUCGGACCUCUUCUAUCGAACAUUAUAUUUAUCGAGCUAGGUUAUACGACUCGGACCUCUUCUAUCGAACAUUAUAUUUAUCGAGCUAUCUUAAUUAGAGAUGCCAAUCUUUCUAUCAAUUCAAUUUUACAAAAUCUUAAUUUGGAAGUUUUAAGUAUAAUUUAAAUAAAUAGAAGUUAUAAAAAAAAUAGAAGUUAUGUCUAAUUGAUUUGAUGUAAUUGUACUUUUUUUAUACAAAAAAAAAUGUAUAAUCAAUUUACAAAUCAUUAAAUAAUAUCAUAUUUUAUUCAAAUAUGCAAUAUGAAUUAUUCUUGAAUAUAGAUAGAUAAAUCAAUUGUUUGUUGAAUAUAAUUAAUACACAUAGGAAGCGAUAUUGAUAUUCAUUUUUUUUUAAUCUUCUGUUAUUGGCAAUUUUUAUUUAUUUCUUAUUUUAAUGUUAACUUCCUAAUCCAUAUAAUUUUUGUAUUUUCAAUUAAAACUACAAAACUACAAUACAAAAUUCACAUCUCUAUUUAAAUUAAAAUUGAAAUAACCAGACAAGUUGUCUAUUUUUUUCCUAUAAUAUUUUGAAUUCAUAUAAUUUUUAUAUUUUAUUCAAACUAAUAAUAGUAAUUCAAUAUUAAGAGUGGUUAUAAAUUUAACUAAACACUAUUCCCUCUAUUUCAUAUUAGUUGUCUAUUUUUUCCUUGACACGAUGCUAAGUAAUUCAAAAUAAAAAGAAUAUUUUUUACUACUUUACCCCAUAAUAUUUUUUAUCUGGAACUUCAUAAACAUGUUUACACUUUAAAAAAGAAUUAAUUGUAAGGGAUAUUGAAAAAAUUGUAAUUGAUUUUUAUCUUUAUUUCAUAAAUUGACAAUUAAUUAGAGAUAACUAUGAGUAGCUGAUCUCUUUACCAUCUUAUUGCGCGACACCUAACAUCAAAUAUCACCAAAAAAUCAUCAAACCUGACCACCUAUUUCACCAUCGAACUAAGGGGUCAAAUGGACGGGUUGAGUUGAAAUUAGAGAUAUUAAAAUAGGUUGAAAUAGAAAUUGGGUUGGGUCUUGACCCCCCCCCCCCCCCCCCACUNNNNNNGGCUUCCCCCCCCCCCCCCCCCCAAGUUUACUUUGGGCUCAAAUGGGUUGGGUUCAAAUGGGCUAAAAAUGAGUUGGGUCUUGACCUGUCCAAUUUGACCCAAUUAAUCUCAAUAUAUAAUUUUACAUAGUGAUAUUUAACUUUAAUAAUCACAAUUAGAAUUUCAGCUCAAGAUUUUUUUUAAAAAAAGUAACAAAUGGAUAGAUAAAUCUUAAAAGAUGUUAAAUAGAUAAUAAUUCAUACCUUUAAUAUAGGAACAUAUCUUAGUAAAGAGUUUUAAAACGGGUUGAAAUUGGAGAUUGAAUUGGGCUCAAUUGAGGAUUCUCUUAUAAUAGGUUAGGAUUGAAUGAGUUGAGAUUGAACCAAAUUCAAAUUAUCUUAAGCCCAACCCUUAAAAUUCUGGACGAAUUACCUAUGUUUGGGUUCAUUUUUGACACCCCAACAUCGAACACUCAACAAAACAAUUAUCAGCAUUUAUUUACAAAGAGCUUAGUCGAACAAUUGACAAAUUAAUGCUCGAUUAACCAUAACUAAUUCUGUGAAAAAUCUAGAGAUGGUGUUUUUAAGAGAGAAGAAAGGUCUAUAAAAAUACAUUAUAAGAUUGAAUUUUGUGCAAAAUUUAAUAACUUCUUACAAACAAGAAAAAGGUACGGAAGUGUUCUUAUUUCAUGUUCUCACAAUCAACAAAAAAGACAAAUAAAUUGAAUAAUCAAUGCAUUUGAAAAAAUUAAUGGUGGAAGUUGGAGUAGUAAAAAUUGAUCAAUUUUAGGUGUCUCGCUAAAAUCUUUUCCAAGCACUGAACCUAAUUAGUUGAACAACUUUGCAUAUCUUUGUUGUGAAUUUUGACCUCAAUAUUCUUUUAUGUUUUUUCUCUCAAAAAAAUUACCAUUAUAAAAAUUAAUUUGUGGUAAGACGAAAAAAUAGAGGAGGAGAAAUAUAAGAUGGCGUGAAGAUGAAGGGGUGGGGGGUCAGUGGCGGAUCCAGGAUUUUUGCUGAGGGGGUUCAAAGUAUAAAGAAGAUAACACAAGUGUGUGGUGAGCGUAGUAGCCCCUCGGCAUCCUCUUUGUAUAAGAAUCAUAAAUAUUUCAUUGGUUCAUAAAAGUAAAAUCUAAACUAAUCAAAGAUAUCAAGGACAAAGAUACAUUGAUAAGAAUUUUAGCGGAUCAACUGUAUUACAUAAAUUAAUUCCUAAAACGUGUGAAAAUUAAAUGAUGAAAAAGGGAGCGAGAUGGGGAAGAAAGAUAUUUACCUUAUCAUGCUAAAUCUAACAUACUUUAUUUUACCAUAUUAAACAUUUCUUUCUACUUUUAUCAUGCUCCAUCGAGGAUUCUUAAAAUUUCUUGUGUGUUUAUACUUUUAUUUUGUAAUGUUUUACUUUAGUUUUCACUUUUUAAAAAAUUAAAUUUGUAUCCAUUCAAUCACAUAUUACUAUGAAAAUCGUCAAGUUUCUCUAUAAAUGUGUAAGAAUAGAGUUACUAAUAUUAUAAUGCAUAUUCAAAAGAUAAAUGAAUAACAUCGUCAAUUUUUUUAGUUCAUAUAGUUCAAUUUACUAGGUUAGUCAUAAUUUGUAAAAAUGACAAAUAACGAAUAAAUCAAAUAAGUUUAAUUUUCAUCCCUCUAAAAUAGAAUUAAAAAUAUAAAAUAAUUUCAUGAAUUCUAUAAAUUAAUAUUUUUAAAAGGGUGUUAACGAUAUUUAAGUUUCUUCAUUAAAUUACAUCUAAUUUAUCAUUUAAAAAGUGAUGAUUUCUUUGAAGAAAUAUAUGAAGAGUAUUCAAGUAGUUCAGAAGAAUCUGAAUGAAUAGAGAAAUACAAGAAAGAGAAGAUUCUGUUCAAAUUUUAGAAACAGAAGAAGAUCAUCGAGGAUAUGCUUUGAAAGCCACCUUCGAUGGAGAAACUUUCAGAAAAAUCCAAGGAUUAAAAUUGAAUCUUAAAGUAGAAGAUAAUUUACUUAGCAGAAUGCAAAGAAUAUUUGCAAGAGAUAAAAUUUCUUAUCAUGAAUAUCAAGAAAUUGAAAAGGUAAUAGAAAUUACCCAAACAACAGAAAAACACAAAUUAAACCUGUUAACAAAAUCUAUGAUAGAUCAAAUUCUUAGGAAAAUCCCUGAAAAAAAGAGAAAGAAAAUGAAUUAUGUUCAUUUAGGAGGAAUCCAAAUAUUAGUCAAAUCGACUUUUAAAGAAGGAAUCAACUGUCCAAUAGUAAUAAACUUAUCAGAUGAAAGAUUUAUAAAUGCAAGAGAAGGAAAUCUUGGUAUAGUAGAGGGAAACCUAGCCUAUACAAAAUUCUUGUUUACAUAUUAUCCGAAAUAUUGUAUAUCACUCAAAGAUGCUGAUUUUAAUGACGCAUUGAGUUUACAUUUUCAAAUCAAAAGAAAUGAUUUAUUCAAAUCAGGUAAUCAUAUAAUGAGUAUAUAUUACCAAGCAUUAUACACAGUCACAAAUUCAAACUAUGGUAAAGUGUAUAAAAGUAAAGGAAUGAUCGAAAUAGAUCAAGAAUGUGCAGGAAUUGCGAGAAUAGUUGAAGCAGAAAUUCAACAAGCCCAAAUUCCAGAUGAAUAUGAAAUUCGAUUUGGAAAAACACAAGAAAUAGGAAGUACUAGUAAUCCUAGACUUUCAAUAGAAUAUGGAAGAAAUUCAAUAAGAGAAAGUAUAUCUAACAGAUAUUCAUUAAAAAUUGAAGCUCCAAAUAUAACAAAAAUAAAUGGAAGAAUUUUCAAUGGAACAGAAUGGAAAAAUCAAGAAAUCUAAUGGUAGUCUAAUAGAUGGAAUACCAAAAUACGAAGGAAAACAAUAUACUUACAAAACCUUUGAAGGUAAUAACUUUAGUUGUAAAAAUAUGGUAAAUAUACCUAUACAACUUGAUACUAUAAGAAUAACAGUACCCUGUUAUAUUACUAAUCACGAAAGUGAUCAAGAAUUAAUUCUAGGAAAUUUAUUCCUAAACAAAUUAGAAGACUAUAGCAUUGGAAAAAAUGGUAUAGAAAUGAUAUACAAAGGCGAAACUUGUUUCAUAAAAAAAAUAUAGAUGCCUAAAGAAACAAUUUUCAAAGUAUCGAUUUUCAUAGAAAUAACAUUCUAUGAUACAAAACUAACAACAUGCUGUCAGAUAGACAAUGGAUCUGAAGCAAGUUUAGCAAAGUCCUUUUUAAUAAAAAAUUGGGACAUGAAUAUGAAUAAUAUCUCAAUGAUAGGAAUCACAGGAGAUAAAGAAAAAUUAUCAAAAUCCAAAGAAAAGGUAGAAAUAAUUUUAGGAUCAAAGAUUGUUUCUAUAAAUACAUUGUUUGCCUAUGAUAAACUAGAAACGGAUUUAUUAUUGGGAAAUGAUUUUCUACAACAAUUUCAAGAUUAUCAUCAAACAAUAUACAUGAUAAGCUUAAAAAUUCCUUGUGGACACUUCAUAAAAGUUCCAAGAAAACAAAAUCCAUAUAAUUUGGAGAAAGAUAAUAAUGGAAAUUUAAAGAGAAAAUACUUAGAAAAUCUAAGAAAAAUUUCUUGUAAAUGCCUUAAUCUAGAAAAGAUAAAAGAAAAUUUACAAAAAUUAUACGGAGAAAAUCCAUUAGAAAAAUGGGAACAAUAUCAUGAAAGGGCAACAUUAACCUUAAAAGACCCUAGUAUAAUCAUUAGAGUCAAACCCAUGCUCUAUAACGAAGAUGACAAAAUUGAAUUUAAAAUUCAAAUUAAAGAAUUAACUCAAUCUAAAAAUUAAUAAGAAUGAGUAAAAGCCCUCACAGUAGCCCAGCAUUUAUGGUAAGAAAUCAUGCUGAAAUAAAAAGAGGAAAAGCUCGUAUGGUUAUAAACUAUAAAGAGCUAAACAAAAAUUGUAUCUUUACAAUAAAUUUGUGUAUUUAUUCUUUUAGCUUUUUUCUGGAUGUUAUGAGACAUACAGAGUUGACUAAGUCUAUUUUUCAGGAAACUUAUUCUCUAUCCUAGAGUGUCUCCUUUUUUGCUUUCUUUUUCGUAUUCUUCUCUGAAGUAUUUUGCCCAGAAGCCUGGUAAUUUUUGAUAGUAUUUUUCUAGAUAAGGUGUCAUUUCCUUACUACUAUCGAAUAUCUUGUAGUAAUAUUCUUCGAAUUCACAAGUAUAUUCUUGAAUAUAACUCAUUUUGCAAAUUUGUAAUUUUUCUAAUUGCUCUUUGGCAAUUGUUCUAAUUAUUUCUUUAUUUUCUUCUUAUAUAUAUAUAUAUAUAUAAUUUCUAUCUCAAUUUCUAGUUAAAUAUAAUUCAUCAUAUUUAAAAGAUUUUAGUUUCAGUUAGUAUAUGAAAGGAGUUACGUUGAAACAACAUGAAUAAUAGAUAUAAAAAUAAUAAAAAAUAAAAAUAAAAAGAAUGUGUCUAAUAAAUUUAAACAAAAACAAAUUAAAAAGAAGAAAUGGAAUAAAAUGAAAAAAUAAUGAAAAAGAAGAAGAAGGUCUAAGCCCAAAAGUUACAUUUUUCUAAGCAUUAAAAAAAAUAGGGGGAAAAUGUUACCCAAGGGAUUUGAACCCGUGACCUAGGGGAACGCACAUCUUGAACCACUUAUCCACUGAGCCAUGCCUGUACUUUGUUUACAAGGGGUUCAUUUUGAGUAUUACCACUAUUCUUCUUGGGAUAUCCACGAAGUUUAUUAAUUUCUAAAUCAACUUGAUUUUUAAAAUCAAAAGUGGUUUCCAUAUUAUCUGCAAAAUCAUCGGAUAAAUGAAGAGGUUUAGCUCCAAAUUUAGAAAAAGAUUUAUCAAGAAGUUUUUCUAAAUCAUAAAGUGGUUUAAAUACAAAAUCCUGAAUCUCAGGGGGUCUUUGCACAUGAGUAGAAAGUUCAGAAAGUGAUUUGGACGUAGAUGCUUGCUCAGAAGGUUUUAAUUCCUUUUUAAUUUGAAUUAUUAGCGCAGUUAAGUCAUCUAAUUUUUUAUCAAGAGAACUAAUAUGCUCUCCUAUGACUUUAACAUAAAGCCCCAAAUAAUUAUUUUGAGAGAUGAGGUUAUUAAUCUCAUUGAUACUUACCAUAGCAACAUCAUUUUCAAUAAACUUUUGAAAAGCAAUGAAAGUAAUACAUGUAUUAUUAGGUAGUAUAAAUGGUGCCUGAGGAGGAUAAAUAGCUUUAAUAAUAUUACAUGAUUCAUCUUUAUAGGAUCGUUCAAGAACAUUGAUGAAUAAAGGCAAAUAAGUGAUUAUAAACCAUGGUACGAAAAACAUAAUAUGAUUAUGUAAAGCACAAGUCUCAUGAAAUUCUUGAGAAAUAUUAUGCAAAUCCUCUGCACUAUAUGUGUUAAAAAACUAAGUUUUAAACUGGCUCCAUUUAUCACUUGCAAAUUCAUUUUGAAUAUAUUUUCUUGCCAGUGAACCUGGACUAAAAUCAAUUUGAUGUCCACUCAUCAUUAAUUAUCAUUAAGAUUAAAAUUCAUUUCGGAUGCAGAAGGAAUAUCCUUAUCAGAAAUAUUAGAUGAUUUAUCGUUUGUUCGAACAAUAUUUAAUCGAGGAUCAAUCAUGAUUUUAUCUUUAUUUUCAGACAUUUCGGAUGCAGAAGGAAUAUCCUUAUCAGAAAUAUCAGAUGAUUUAUCAUUUGCUUGAACAAUAUUUAAUCGAGGAUCAAUUUUAAUUUUAUUUUUAUCCGCAGAUAUAACAAAGGAUAGUGUAUGCAAAGAAGCAGCACGAUUUCGAGCUGGACCAUAAACAAGAUCAAUCGGCGAGAUGUGUUGGAUGGCAAGUAAUCUUCUAUCAGAAGAAAAUGAAUGUCUAUUAUAUGGAACAAUCUUGUCAUCAAACUGAAUGCAAAUCUUACCAUCAACAUUUUGAGUAAUAUGAGAAUAUUCAGUAUUAGUGACAACAUCAGCCAUCUGUUCUGGCGGUAUAACAAAAUCUAAAGUCCAAGUAGUAGGAAAAUUAAUCUCUUCCUAUUUUAUAGGUCUUCUAGUAGUGACCUUAUAUUUAGCAAAAUUAGUUUCAACUAAAAUGGUUUGAUCAGAUGUAUCAUAUAAUUUACAUCUUAGGUUUAACGUAGCAAGCAAUUUAUAAUAGAUUCUAUAAGAUAAACAAAUUAAUUCACCAGACGCAUAAUUAUAACCAUGCGUAUUAACAUUUAAAGAAAAAGCAUCAAGAAUAUUAGAAUCAGUAAAAUGUAACUGCAAAUUAGGUUGAGUAUUAAAAUAUACUCGGCCAUAAGCUACCGUGGAUUCUAUCGAACCCAUCAAAGAUUGUCGAAAAUUUAAAUUUCUAGCAUCACGAAGAGCAGCUAAGAAAGUUUCAGGUAACCCUUUAAGAGUUAGAGGAUUAAAAGCAAUUUGUACCAUGUCAAUAUGCAAGAAUUUAUAUUACGAUUUAUUUAAGUCAAUAUCGCGCUUAUUCAACAAACGAAUAGUUUGUUCAGACAAAUUUAACGCUAAAGAUUUCUCAGUAGUUUUUAUCAAUUGUUUAUUAGAGAUCUUAUCAAACCAACCAUAAUCAUAAAUGGUUUUUAUAUCAACUUUCGGAAUAGUCCAUUUGUUUAACAAAUCAAGGUUUUGAGGUAUAUCUACCUCUUCUAAUUUGGUACUUUUAGUACUAGUAUCUCCUAAAUCCAUGAUUAAGAGAAUAUAUCUAUGCCGAACUUCACAUCAAUUUCAUAUUACCAUGAAAGUUCCUAGGCUCUGAUAUCAACGUUACAGGAUCUCUGACCUGGCGGAUAUAUACCAUAUAGGAAUCACAAUAUCAAAAAAUUUAAUUCAAUGUGAUUAAUUCGAUAUCUAUUAUAUCAUACACAUCUACUUAUCUUAAUUAUUGAUAAUCAAAUUUAUUUUUGUUCACUUUUACUUCUCUGCUAUUUCAAAAAUAGUUCUUUACGACUUUUAACAUAUAAAGAAAAUACAAUUUUUUUUCCUCAUAUUUUAUCCUUAACGUUAAUUCCUUAUUCUUCAAGUUAUUUUUCAAAGCAUAAUAGAAAACAUCAAUUAAUAGAAAUAGUAUAGUAAAAUAGUCACGUCAAUCAUUAUUUUGUAUCAAGUCAUAUAUGACAAACAAAAACAAAUUUUAAAAAGUAUAAUAUUUAAUGUACUAUAAGAUUUAUACCUAACAAUUAUUACUCAUUAUAUUAAUUUAAUACAUCACUUUCAAACCAGCAAUCAAAGACCCCAAGUUAAUGGCUCAAAGGCCGUAUGAGGGAAGGUAGGAAAUAAAGCUACAACGAAUUUUCGUAUUUAUUGAGUUCUUGUCUUAGUCAGAAAGUUGUUAUUCCGAUUUUUUUAGAAAAUAAUUUAGUAGUAGUACCUAACUCAUAUAGAUUUAUUUUUUCCAUAGAAACUAGACACUUGUAUUAUUGCAUCAAAAAAUUAUAUAGUUUAAACUUUAAAUAUAUCCACAAUAUCAUGUACAAUUUAAUAUAGGAAAAAAUUCUUUCUAGAAAUUCCCUUCAGUGAAGAAAUAAAAAAGUACAAAUUAUGAAAGUGGUCAUUCGAUAUUUUGCUUUAUUAAAAAUUGAUCUAAUUAUCAAAAUUAUCGAAAUUGAACAAAUACGUUCUUCUUCUUCCUUCCAGUUUUGUCAUCAAUAACUUAUUUUCCUUUUUCUUCCUUCUUCAUUAUCAUCUUCUUGUAUUCUCCUUUUUUCUUUUUCUUUUUUAAUUCGACAUAUUAAAAACAAUGAAUCGUUUAGAGUGAACUAUAUAUGAUCAAAAGAUUCAAAAUAUUGAGAGUAUUUCAUAUAUAAUUUUGUUGGACUGUUUAGAGGUGAUUUUGAGUUGAUCAAUAUUGAAUAGUCAGUAUAUACUUUCUGAAUAGUCAAUGUAUGUUUCAUGUAUAGUUAAGUUAUAUUCAAUUUUUUGAAUGUAUCAUAAUAUACCGUCAGUGUAUAGCUCAUAUAUAGGUUAGCUAUAUUGUAUAGUUAGUGUAUAUUUUUUUAUGACUUUUGGCAAGAUAUGUUGUAUAAUUCAUGUAUACUUUUUAUGACUUUUGACUAUUUUUAUGAAAAUAAAAUAUGACUAUCUACAUUAUAAAACUAAUUACUUUAUUAUAUAUGUUUGAAACCAGUCCAAUAAAUUUUUUAGUUAAAUUAUAAGCUAUUUUAUUCAAACAUUAUAUAUAUAAAUCAAUACAAUCAAACAUGCUUGAAAGCAUCUAAAUAUUUUCACACAUCAAUGCUAUCUCCCAUUAAGAAUUUUCUUAAUAAUUACUUAUUUUGAAAGUAACUUUGCAACAACCAAUUUUUUCCAACGUAUUCCUGUAACAUCUCACAAUUAGAAAGAACUAGAAGGAAGUUUAAAAUUUGGAAAUAGUUAUUUUUGGAAAGUAUAAGGAAAUCUGGAAAAUUUUAAGUAAGUUAAAGUGCAUUGUCGGUCAACUUUAAACGACCAUAACUCCUAGAUCAUGAUGAAUUAGGUGUAGUUCCAGAUAUGGUUGGAAAGCUCUUGGAAUGAUCUUUCCAACGCCGCCAAGUUUACAUGAUUCCAAGUUCGUAUGAGUGAGUUAUUCUCUUUGGAAGUUGGGUUGUUCGAAUAAGGAAAUGCCCAAUCCAGAUUUUUGAAGGGUAGUUUGGUCUUUUCCUUACCCAAUUAAUUAAAUCCAUUUUUAAUAAAAUAAUUGGGGUCAAACUGAGUUAGUUCAGUUACACUUUUGAGAAAUAGAGUUAGGGCUUUUGGAGAAAAGAACGCAAGAGAAAAGAAGAGGAAAAGCAAGAUUCACCAAGAACGAUCGAUUUUGGUUGCGGAUUCGCCAGGGAAUUGACCUACAAGGUAUGCGAGUCUCUCAUAACGUUGGGUUCAUUCACCCACGCGCCAAACAUGUUUAGUUCAGCAAAAUUCGUCCUAAAAGAGUUUGUAAGUUGAUGUUCUUGACAUAAAUUCUUGAAUUUGAAUGUUGUUUUUGAAUUGGGAUGAAUUGAGAAGUUUCUGAGUUUGUUACCUCGCAUUAUAGAGUCGUUUCGAGUUAGAUUCUUAGGUACAUUUCCUGGGUAUCUGUAUCUAAAGGUAAUUUGAGAAAAAGAACCAAGGUUGUGUGAUUUGGGGCUGGAAAAUGAAGAAGAAAUUUUGUCCGACGAAAUUUGAGUAUGGGAGCGCGUCGCGCGACCUGUUCCCAGAAUUGAAAAAUUCUGCUCCGCUUCGCGAAGCUGACACGAGGUGUUCUGCCUCAAAAGACGUUUUCGGAACCAAAAGUUAAUUAUGCCUCCACGUCGCGGAUCCACCUUCAAAUCUUGAUUUUCGAUAUUUUCUCAUAUUUAGCUAUCUAAAAUCAUUCCUAAACAACAUGAGAUCUUUCCAAACACCAAUCAUAAUCUUGAAUCCAUAAUUCAAUUCAAGGAUCAGUUAAGAGUCAAGACAAAAGCACUUAAUCCCAAAGUCAAGAGAAGUCAAGAGUCAAGUAAGAGAAGUUCAUUUCAAGUUUUCAUAAGUCUUUUACAAACGUUCUAACUUUGUUUUAAGACUUAAGUUUUGAAGUUGAGUAAAGAGUAAGAGCAAAGUUCAUUUUCUUUAAAAUGAUAUACGGGAACUAAGUGUUUCCAAGAGUAAACGUUUUCACAUUUAAGAUGAGAGGAAACUGAGAUUUCCAAAAGAGUUUUGAACAGCAAAAGGGAACAUUGAUUCCAAAAUAGCUUUUUAAGCUAAGUUUGAGCAAUUAUCUCAAACCAGAGAAGAAGUUGUUUUAAAAACAUAUGAGCUAAGUAUAUUUUGGGAGUAGUAUUGAGCACCGAUAUGGGGACACGAGUUUAUAUUAACUCAAGCCCCCAAGGUCCUUGGCAACGUGAGGUAAAACGUUGUACCAUCACUUAGGCUCAUAGUGAUGGUUGUUGGUUAGACAAUCUCCCACAUAAGUUAUAUUACUUUCCAAAUGAGUAAAGUUAAGUUUGUUAUUGCUUUAUCUUUAACGAACUAAGAUUGUUUUCAGUUGUUUUAUAAGCUUUAUAUAUAUCUACCGCAUGUGUUUUAUUGCUUUAUAUUGAGUUGAGUAUCCAUGAGUUGAGAAGAGCCAGGUAGGUGUUUCUUCCAUAAUCUCUUUCGAGCCUAUGUUUGUUAGCAUUCCAACUCGCAUACUCAUACAUUCAAUAUACUGAUGCCAGUUGACCUGUAUUUUAUUAUGAUGUAGACACAGGUAACUAGGAUCAACAUCCAGCGUCUCGUUGAUCCAGCUUGAGCAUUCAGAGUCUAUUGGUGAUCCUCCUUGCAUUCAGGAGGACUCCUUAUUUGCUUUCUAGUCUUUCAGAUGUUAGGAUGAUCGGGGGUCAUGUCCCGACAUCCCUCUUUGUUUUAGAGGCUUCAUAGACAGUUAGUAGUUCAGUAGUCUUUCAUUAUCAUUCUUAUGUUAAAGACUUGGGUUGCCACUUUUGGCCAAGUUGAAUGUUUAAUCUUUAAAACAUUCUCAGUUAUUUUAUUAUUCAGUUCAAUUAAGUUCAUUGAUCAUUAUUGUUGACACCCAAUUUUGACCCUCCCGAUAAAAAUUAUUUUUUUAGCUUCUUAAUUUUUAAACGAUUUAGAAUAGCUAAUUUUAUGAAAUCCCAAAUAUUGUUCAAGUUAGUUUAAAGUAAUCUUGUCAUUUUAUAAUUUUUUGAAUAAUGUAUGUGUUUUACAUAAUUAUGUAUAUAUUAAUUAGUAUAUUUUAUGAACAUUCGAAAAUCGUCUCAAAAAUUUUGUCUAAUUAAAUAUUUGGUGAGUUUGUUUAAUUAUUUAAUAGUUUCUAAAUUUGAGUUGAUUAGUUUUGUUUUAUAUAUAGCCAAAUUAAUUAUUUUAUUUCAUUAAGACUAAGAAGCUCAUAAAUUAACUAUUAAUUCGUCUUAGUUUUGUAACGACUCAUUCGAUCAUUUUGAGUAUUAGAGCUUUUAUUGUAUAAAAUACUCUUCCGAUAGAUUUUAAAUGAGUGUUUUGGACUAUUCAUAACUACAAUUAUGAAAUUAGUGGAGUAGUUUUUAUAAUUAAGUUAGUUGGUAGUUAUAGAAGAUAGCAUUAAAAACAAAUAGUGGGCCACUUCUACCACCCCAUAAUUAGGCUUAAUAAUAAUUAGGGAUUUCCAUCGUGAGUUAGAAACUCAACAGAACUUCAACUACAGCGAUACAAAUUGCAGAGAGGCCGACGAGUACUUCAGGUAAAUCCAAUAUCCAAUAUGUAUUUGGUGAACCUGAACAAAGGUUUUAUGAUUAUUAUUAGAUUAUCGUUAUUAGACUAGAAUUUGAAGAGAACGAGUUUUCAGUGGUAGUGUUAGGUUGACAUCUGGUGAUUAAUGGCAAUAAGUGGUUGAAUUGUGAUUAAUUUCUGAGUGGUGACGUAAGGAAAUUAUGUAAUGCAAGAGUAGUAAUAUGGAUUUUUAUUGUCGUUAAACUGUAAGGGAAAUUGUGGGUAGUGAUUAUUGUUGCCUUGGGUUAAAUAAUUGGGUGAAAACUUCGGUGGAGACAAACUUGUCUCCCUGUUCAUUAUUUGAUUAAAUUAUUGUUAAGUACUAAAACAAUAGGUGGCAAAUUAUUAUCUAUUGAGAUUAGCAAGUGGAUUGCAGGCGAAAAGUUUAUAAACUUGAAUGGUCACUGUCAUGUUUUGAUAAUUUUGAAAUGGUUUUCGUGUGUUUGCUGACACUGGUAUCGUGACCAGUGGCUUCAGUUUUACCAUAUUAUAAACUUAAAUUUGAUAUAAUGAGAUGGAGGUAAUUAAAUAUAAGGUGUGGUAUAUUAUAUGAAUUACAUUAAAGUUAUGCUAAUGGGAGGAAUUAAGACUUACCCUUAGGUUUGAACUUUGGGAAGUUGAUUAUAGAAUUAGGUGAGUUUUUGGAUAUAGGAGGGACAUAGAAUAAUAUGAGUGUUUAUAGGCUUGUUAACUUACAAAUUAUGCCUAUAUACUUGAUAGAUUGGAAAGGUUCGGAGGCAUUGAGGAAAGGAAAGGCAUUGGAGAAGUAGCUUGCCUGACGUCAGUUCUUCGGUGGAGGUAGGUUAUGGUUUGUUCUAUUUGAUAGAUAAACUCUUAAUAGCGAUUAAUAUGCAUUGAAUGAUAUUGUGAAGUUCUCUAUGUACUUGACUGUGUGAUUAUGUGGCUUGGGUGUGUGGUUUGUGAUUGGUCUAAAAUCCUGAGACCGUGAGAUUUAUAAUCUGAAAACCUCUCUAUUGAAGUUAUGCCUUGAAUAAAGAGGGCUUGAUGUAAUAUUAUUAAUGAACAUGAAAAGUAGUGAUAAUAAAUGAUAAAUUAAUAAUAUUAUUGGAUCGGAGUGUCACGUUCCGACACGGUAUUUUUGGAUCGGAGUGCCACGUUCCGACACAGUAUUUUGGAUCGGAGUGUCACGUUUCGACACGGUAUUUUUGGAUCGAAGUGUCACGUUCUGACACGGUAUUAUUGAAUCGGAGUGUCACGUUCCGACACGGUAUAAUUGGAUCGGAGUGUCACGUUCCGACACGGUAACCUUAAGGAAAAAAUAUUGAAUUAACUUAAUGUACUCAAUCUCAAUGAACGCAUUUCCCAAAUGAGUGUGAUGUAGAGGCAUGAGUCCUCGUGUGUGUGCUUGAUAUUGUGAUUGAUUACGUACUUGUUUCAACUGUUACUUGUUCAUGUUGGGGUUUCUUAUCACCUGCUAAGUGCUAUAGUUGACUUUAUACUAUUAUUCAUUGUAUAUUAGUUUCUAUUUUGGGUUGACCGAUGAUACCUACUCAGUACGUGUUCCUUGUACUGACCCUUACUUAUGUUUUCUUCGUUUUUCUUUUGUGGAGUGCAGCAAGUGUACCAUCGACUUCGACUCGCCCUCAACUCUAGCCAGUCUCCAGCACAUCAGAUUUCAGGGUGAGCUGUUCCUUCUAGCUCGUGCUAGAUUCUCUCAGUUAUGGCGUGAUGUCCUUGAAUUUUGGACAUGGACCAUUGUAUUUACUUAUUUUGGGUUCUCUAAUACUUUUAGACUUGAUAUGUUAAUAACAGAUGUCCUUGAUGUGAUGACUUUCAGAUUUUGGGGAUAAUAUGUAAUAGACUUUAGAGGUUUAUUUGAUUGGUUACUUUAAUAAGUUUUGGAGCUUCCGCGUUAUUGUUGUUAGUCGUAGUUAAAUUAUUGGUAUAUGUUGGAGUUUAAAUUCCUUGGUCUGCCCACUUAGGAGGUGAAGUGUGGGUGCUACUCAUGACUCAAUUUGGGUCGUGACAAGUUUAAUUCUAGCCGAGUCAUCUAAAACUAAUUCUUUUGAUUACCUUCCAAAUCUUUAUGGAUAAAUUAUUAAUCUAUCACAAAUUCAGCUAAGUCAAACAUUUGCCUGCAUAUCACUAAAGAAUUGACUUUGGGCUCUUUUUGCCAAAGUUUCAACAGCCCACAGUUCCCUAUUCCCAUACAAUAUCAGCAAUUCCACCCCAAAUUCCAGCAGUGCCCAGCUGACCCAACCCAGUCCAAUUCCCCAACCCGAUCCAGCCCAUAUCUUCUAUUCACAAAAUGACCCAAAAGCUCCCAACGUUUUGAAAUCCCAAAGCUUCACGAUAACAGUAAGACCACGACGCCCCUCACAUCUCUAAUUUUCACGGCGAUACACGGUCCAACUCACGGAAAGACAACAACAGAGGGCAGUACUCUGUUUUCUUUGAUCUUUUCUCCAACGUCUCUCUCCAGCUUAGUCGCAGCAGCUGUUGUAGCAGCACGAAUCGUCCCUGCAUCCUUGAGAUGGAGCCACCUCGCUCGCCAAGGACGAUCGAUCAAUUCGAGGCGUCGAUUCGUCCCUUCCUCUUUCGGAAUGGGGCAAAAACUUCAGAAAAGGUGCCUCACCUAAAAUGGUGAAAGAUUUUUGGAAUUCAAAAUCGCUAAUUUCUCCUAUAUAAUCAUCUCUUCUAUUCAUUUGUAAGGGGGAUUUUUUUUUGGUUUCCAUUGAUACAGAGAACUAACCUAAAGGAAAAUAUAUAAAAAUACAUACGAAAUAGACACACAAAAUAGAGAGUCGAAAUUAAGCAGGAGUCGGUCUUCUUAAACCAUAUAAAUUUGGAGUCUAGAUUUGUGGUUUCUUUCCAGUAUUUUGCUCACCAAAGCUCAUCGGCAUUUGAUUCAAAGUGGUGGAAGCUUCUUCGUGUUUAGCUCGUCUUCCCGGUUCGCUGCCCCGAAAAAGGUAAUGUCUUCUCCUUUAUCAUACUCUCGUCGUCUCUUCUGCUAUUUCAAAGUGAUAUUUUGAUGUUAGAAAACCUUUAUGUUGUGGUUGUUUGCUGUUAGUUGACAUUGGGGUUGAUCACUAGUUUCGGACCUGCAGAUUACAUAUUUUCUGGCCUUACUUUGUUGUUAUUAUUGGUUGGUUUUUUCAUGUUUGAAGUAUGUAAUUUCUAUAGCGCUGGUUGCUAUCUCUCUAGUUGAGUAAGAAAGCAUGAUAUGUAUCUUUUUUAUUUCAUUUAGAGUUCAUUGUUGGUUAUGAAGAAAAUGGUUGUUUAUGCAUAUUACCUUUUUAUGAUAAGUUGAAUGCUUGUUUAUUGUGGGCUGUUUCUGGAAUUUUAGUUUUUCUUAACCUCAUGUCCUCCCAUUUUUGAGUUUGGUAAUAUCCAUUCACGCCAGGAGAAGUAUGCCUUGACCCGUUUGUUUUUCCUGUUGAUCACUAUUAUUAGAAUAUUUACUCUUUUAAUACUUACUGUUGGGAUUAUAGUUAGGCAUGCAUGGUCUAUUCAAAGCCAUUUAAUCAUUAUUUUUUUUAUUUUUUUUAUUUUAUAUAUUUUAUUUUAUUUUAUUUUUAUUAUUAUAUUUUUUAUUUUUUUUAUUUUAUUUUAUUUUUUAGUUGAAAAUCUUAGGAUAAGACAUUAAUUCAUUUGCUCUUAGUGGUUUAAGGUUGUUGAAAUAUCAUUUGUAUUGAUUUAAGUCCCUUUGUGAUACACCUUGUCUUCUUACAGUGUUUAAAUUGAAAUGUGGUAGUACAUAAGUUCAUAUUUACUUGGUACUUAUAUUACACCAUAAUUCCUUACUUACGAGUUUUCAUUUUUUAUUUUUAUGACAUCUGCCCGAGUUCACCAUGAACUCCCAUACUUUUCCUUGCAUUUCGAGAUAGGCCAUAAAGGCCCCAAUUCCUCCCUUCUCUCGACUCAGCCCCCAUGUCGAAUUGUGAAAUUGGCGUACAGGUUGAAGACGGUAUAUAAGGGUGGGGGGGGGGGUGAAAAUUGAAUUUUUAGAUUCCGGAAAGCUAAAAAAUGGGCUGAUAUACCCGCUGUAUACACUGGUAUACAGUCGGAAAAUACAGAAUACCGAUCCAAGACGUGAAAACUAGGGGUGCGCAUCGGUCGGUUCGGUUUGGUUUUAGGUGUUAUUGGUUCGGUUUAUCGGUUUUCGGUUUGUAAAUACAUCAAACCGAUAACCAAACCAAUAACAUAUUUCUUAUCGGUUUUUGGUUAAUCGGUUUAUGGUACUUAACAGUUCGGUUUUCGGUUUAACCAAUAAGAAAAUACUCAUAUAUAUUAUAUACACGAUAAGAUAAUUUUCAAAUAAACCAUAUGAUCUUUCCAGCAUUUGGCAUGAAAGUAAUAAUCAUAAAAGUAACAAUCAUUUUUCUUGCAAGUUUAGACACUAGAGACAUUCAAAGGAAAAAGUGUGAAAGUAACAAUCGUUUAACCAUUAACAAUAAGACUAGUAAAUUUAGUAUAGUCUUAUUGGGUUAUCGGUUUAACCAUUAACAAAAAUUAUAAAAUCGGAAACCGAACCAAUAACCCAAUAAAAAUUUUUUUGUCAAAACCGUUGAAAAACCAAUUAGCCCAAUAACCCAAUAUCAAUAAACCAAUAGUGUUUUUUUCGGUUCGAUUUAUUGGUUAAAUCGGUUUUUGCACACCCCUAGUGAAAACACAGGUGAAAAGUGCAGAAACACGAAGUUCGAAUGAAAUUACAGGUUCGGGAGUUCGAGAAUUAGAGAUAUACAUGGCGUUAGGGGUGUUCACAGUUUGGUUUGGGUCGGUUAUUGGUCAAAACCAAACCAAACCAACUUAAUCGGUUUUAAAAUUAUCAAAACCAAACCAAACCAAAUAUUAUAUACAUUUAUCAGUUUGGUUGUUUUCGAUUUUGGUUUGGUUUGGUUCAGUUAUUCGGUUAUUAACCAUACAUAAAAAUAAAAGAAACAAUCCAUUCAAAAACGUGAAAAAAGUGACAACAAUCCAUUCAAACAAAAAAAUAGUUAGAAUGACUGGCAUUAUAGAACUCUUGAUCACGAAUUUACUAAUUAAAACUUCAAAAUUCACUAUUUUGGCAUAGAAGGAAGAGACAAUGACUAUUUUUUAGUCCCACAAAGAAUUUUCAUAGACACUCAUAUACAUGAAACCAUUAAGAAAAAUGUUCUCACCUUUGGACUAUUUUUCUUUCAUAAGUAAAUUAUAAAUAAAUUUUGAUGAAACAUAUAUAAAAUCUUUAAAAAUUGUUUAUGAAUAUAAUAUAUUACGUAUGUAUAAUAAUAAAAUUUGUGUAUAUAACUUGUUGGUUCGGUUCGGUUAUUUCUUCGAUUUUUUUCUAACAAAAGCAUAAACAAACCAAAUACUAUAGGUUCUUAACAAUCUAAAACUAAACCAAACCAAAACCCAAAUUAAAUCGGUUCAUUUAAUCGAUUUGGUUUGAUUUUUCGAUUUUGAUCAAUUUUUAUCCAAACCAUGAACAACCCUACAUGGCGUAUACCUCAAAUAUACACUUUGUGUAUAUCAUGAUCAAGGAAGAUGGAAAAAGGGCCAAAGCCCAAAUGAAUUAUUACUUCUUCUUUUUUUGCAGAUUUGGAAAAUUUGGGCAAAAGCCCAAAUUCAAUAUAUCCCUCUUAAUUUAUUUGUUUAUCUAUUUGUUGAUUGACUAACGUUUUAUUUAUUUUUAUGGUUGAAUUAAUUAAUUCCCAAAGAUAGCCAUUUAGCUUUUAUAUAAAGAAAAAAAAACAUAAAUAGUUAUUUUAUACAUAUUCUUAUUACCUAGCUUCUAUUUUAAUUUUUGUAUCGUCAACACUUAGGUUACUCCCCUUUAGAAAACUUCCCCUUAGUUCCAUCCCCCUUAAGAUAAUUGUAUAACAAUAACAAUAAUAAUAAAAAUAAAAAAAUUAAAUGACAAUAAUAAAAUUAAAGUGAUGAAAAUAAUAAUAGUAAUAAAUAAAUAAGUUAAAAUAAAUGAGUUCAUUUACUUAGUUAAAAGUUUUAAAAAAUAAGUUAAAGUAAAUGAGUUUUUUUAUUUAGUUAAAGUUUUCAAAAAAAUAGUUAAAAUAAAAUGAGUUCUUUCACUUAGUUAAAAUUUCAAAAUUAUUCAAAGUCGUUAUGAGUCCUUUUGCUUAGUUAAAAUUUCAAAAUUAGUCAAAAUCAUUUUGGUCAAAUCGCCGGUCAACCGCGAGUUAGCGGGCAUUCCGAGGGCCUAACACCUUCUUGGAAUGUACAUUGAACUUCGAACCAUUUAUUUUCAAUUGGUUUUAUCUGUUUAAAUCUUUGGAAAACUUUAAAUUUUUUCUUGAUUUUUAUUAAAAAUUAAGUGGCGACUCUGUUCUUUUGGAAAUUCGAUUUCUCUUAAACCAUAAGUUUGAUCGAUUUUUUGAAAACUCAAUCAUUUUUCUUUUAUAAAUACUUUUAAAUAAAACAAUUAUAGAUAUGAAUAUUGUCUUCCGCUGAGUUAAGUAAGCCAGGGCAGGGGUUCGCUUGGUGCCAGCAAUGGUCUUUAAGUGCCAAUCCCUCUCAGGGUGUAGGCUGGGGGCGUGACAAUUCCAAUAUUUAUUAAGCCCUUAUCUCAUCCAAAAAGUUAUGUUUCGAUUCGUUAGAUGCUCAUGCUAUGGUAGUACCUAACUCGCAGAAGACUACAUUUUUAUUUCUUCAUAAAAGCUAGACACUUCGUAUAACUACAUCAAAAAGUUACAUAUUUUAAAUAUAUUAUAUUCAAUAACAUCAUGUAACAUUUAACCCGGGAAAACCUCUUCGAGGAGUUAGCAAAAAAUAAAGCAUACAAAUAUCCUCACACGUUACUUCUAUCUCCAAUCAAACUUUUCUUGGUAAUUUUCGAGCAAUUAAUUUUUUUCAACUUGUUUCUGUAUCUAUUGAACCCUUAUCUUAUCCAAAAAGAUAAUGUUUGAUAUUUUAGAAAGUAACUUGUGAGCCUUACUGGAUGGAUGUUCUUUCUAUUCAAUGCUAGUACGUCUAACUCACAAACGUCUAUUUUUUUUUUACUUUUCAAUUUAGUUUAAUUAUCUGAUUUUCAUUUAAACGAAGUUUUAAACUAUGAAAUAUUUUACUUUAAAGAGGCCGUUAGAAAUAAGGAGAAUUAAAAGAUUAAUAAGGAGGGAAUUUUUUACUCGAAAGAUUAUCGUCAAAGACAUUCUUUGUAAAAUAAAGAAAAAAUAAUAUUAUAUCAAAUCUCAUAAUAUAGAAAUAUUUUAAAAUCUUCUUCGUAAAUAUAUUACACUCCUACCACUUUAAUUUACAGCAAAUAGCCUAAGGAGUAUAAGAGAGAUCCACAAGUACCAAUUUAACUUUCUAUGUGCAUAAUAUUCUCAUUGGUAAAUUGUAUUUUAGUAGUCUUUAAUAAUAAUUUUAAAAUACUUGUAAGUUGUAAUGGUGUCGUCGUCAUUGAUAUUUUUAGCAUUUAUAAAAUAUUAGAGUGCAAAUCAUUAUUAAAAAAAUAAAGAUAAAAAUGUAACACAAAAAACACAUUGUAUGUUAAAUUACUCCAAUUUUUACGAUGUAGACAAGAGCGAGUGGGUUGUUACAAUAAUUUAGGUCAAGCUUUCACAUUUAGUGAGACAACGGAGCAAUCUUUGUCAACAAAUUAAAUACAAUCUCUAAAUAAACAUUGAUUGAAAACAUUGUUAAUUAAUCAUUAACAUAUACAUAGAAAAAAACAUUUUUUUCUCAACUUACAGUAACAUAAUAUAUACUCUACAAAUUUCAUUUUUAACAGAUGUGCAUUUAAUCAGGUCAUAUCAAGUAGAUUAACUAGCGCAAUAGGUAGAUUUUAUGAAAUGGAUAGUCUCCUCUUUGUUUGUUUUAAAAAUUCUCGAAGCAGAUAAGAAUGAAAUUAAUUUUACUAGAUGCCACUUUUAAAUUCGGAUAGUAUGGGUUAUGUUAGUAUGGAAUUAAUUUUACUGAAUGUUCUAUUCAAUGCUAGUACUGUCUAACUCGCAAACGUCUAUUUUCUUUUACUUUUUAAUUUAAUUUACUUAUCUGAUUUUGAUUUAAACAAAGUUUUAAAAUAUGAACUGUUUUACUUUAAAGAGGCCGUUAGAAAUAAGGACAAGCUAAGUUUGAGUUAAAAAAGUUAAUAAUGAGGGCAUUGUUGGCACGAAAUAAGAACAAACUUUGAAUUAAAAGAUUAAUAAAGAAAAUAAUAUUAUAUCAAAACUCAUAAUUUAGAAAUAUUUUAAAAUCUUCUUCGUAAAUAUAUUUCACUCUACCACUUUAAUUUACAACAAAUAGCCUAAGGAGUAUAAGAGAGAUCCACAAGUACCAAUUUAACUUUCUAUAUGUGCAUAAUAUUCUCAUUGGUAAAUUGUAUUUUAGUAGUCUUUAAUAAUAAUUUUAAAAUACUUGAAAGUUGUAAUGGUGUCGUCGUCAUUGAUAUUUUUAGCAUUUAUAAAAUAUUAGAGUGCAAAUCAUUAUUAAAAAAAUAAAGAUAAAAAUGUAACACAAAAAACACAUUGUAUGUUAAAUUACUCCAAUUUUUACGAUGUAGACAAGAGCGAGUGGGUUGUUACAAUAAUUUAGGUCAAGCUUUCACAUUUAGUGAGACAACGGAGCAAUCUUUGUCACCAAAUUAAAUAGAAUAUCUGAAUAAACAUUGAUUGAAAAUAUUGUUAAUUAAUCAUUAACAUAUACAUAGAAAAAAAACAUUUUUUCUCGACGUACAGUAACAUAAUAUAUACUCUACAAAUUUCAUUUUUAACAUGUCACAUGUGUGCAUUUAAUCGAGUCAUAUAAUGUAGAUUAACUAGCGUAGAUUUUAUGAAAUGGACAGUUCCCUCUAAAUUUAUUUUAAAAAUCAUCAAAGCAGAUAAGAAUGGAAUUAAUUUUACUAGAUGUCACUUUUAAAUUCGAAUAGUAUGGAUUAUGUUAGUAUGAAUUAUGAUGUUGAUGUAGUAGGUAAUUUAGGCGUUGGUCACUGAUCUUAGUAUGGAUGCAUAAUUAUAUCUAUAAAUAAAAUUUCCCUUUUCGACAAAAAAAAAAAGUCAUAACAAGUAUGUCGGUAGGCCCAGUUUGUAGAGUAAAUUUCUUAGAUAAUCACCCAUGGUUGGUGAUAAAAUUUGGAGCUCAAAUUAAAGUUUUUUUAAAAAUUUGAAAUUAAUAUUUAUCUAUAAAAUAUGAACAAAAUUCCAUUUCAUUAUAUUAUAUUACAAAGAAAAAUUCAUAAUUUAAACUUUGAAAAUGAAGACCCAUGCUUGACGUGAAGAGAUUGUUUAUACAAUAUGAGGGGAUUAUAUUAAAGAAUAACUAGUUAUCGAUAUUAUUGAUUUAUUGGAUCAAUGAAUCUUUGUAAAAUUAUGUCUAUUUUAAAAAUUCGUAAUAACAUGUAAUCGCAAACCUUUAUUUAUUAAGAAAACACAAAGAUAUACAAUUUAUUAAUGUGAUACCUUAGGAUAUCCGUUACCUUGUUAAUGAACUAUAUAUGAUUUGCCUGGUGAGAUUAUAAUAGUUUUGAUAAAUUGUGAGGAUUUUCAUAUUUAUGAAGAAAAAAUAUUAAUUAAAGAAUUCAAAUUGCAUGUCAAAUAAAAUUGAAGUUUUUGCAAGAACUUUCCCUGUUUUGGGUAGUCUAUAAAAAAAAUUGAUUCAAUUUUCUAGUAGAGCUUGGAUGUUGUAUUAAUCCCAAAAUUCAGCACCUACAUAUACAAGCAGGUGAAUAGUCUUUUUUUUGCCUCCAAAAUUAUAGCUGCAAAAUAGAAAUAUACCUAAUUAAAAUUAAGUUCCAACAAAUAGCAUCUAGUAGCCUUUAAUUGUCAUCCUUAAAUAUAAAUAAUAGUUUCAAUUUUUGUCUAUGUUGGUCGUUUUAUAAAGAAAUUACAGCCAAAUUACUCUUAUAUAUGACAUAAUUUUGCAAGACAAAAAACUUUUGUCUACCUUACAUAAAUUGUACAGCAUCUAAUUUGCAAGACACAAUUUAAACUGACAAAAACUUUGUAGGAAUAAACUAUUACUUGAUCUUAAGACAACUUUAUAGGUUUCAAAAUUGAAUGAAUACUUUUAUCAAAAGUAAGUUUUACAUGAACUAAGUUAUAUCUUAUAUAACAUAAUUUGUAGGCUACGAGCCUUUUAGGGUAUAACAUUCUAUUAUAAUAAGUUUUAUAAAUAUGACAUAAGUUGCAACUUAUGAACGUUCUAAAACUAGCCUUAUGCCUUUGUCGUCGUAAAGAUCUAAGUUUAUCCUUUUUAAAUCUUUCUACCAACCCUUUUUUUUAUUGUUGUUUAGCUUAUUAUAGUUAACCAACUAUCUUCCGCUUCUUUUUUGCAAAAUAAAUCUUUUCCAUUUAUAGAGCCUUCAUCUUUUCGUCUAAGGGUAUGUUUGGUAUGAAGGUGAAAAAUAUUUUUUAAUUUUUUCAUGGUUGGUACUUGGUUGGCUUAAAUAUUUGGAAAAUAUUUUUUAAAUCAACUCAUUUUCCUCAAAUUUAAGAAAAAUGACUUUUCUUCCUGUCAAUCUCCUUGAGGCUUGAGCAACUAACGAAUUUAUUUUUGUUUAUUUAAUAUUAGAAUUAUAUCAGUCAUUUUUGUUUAUUUAAAAUGACAAAGGAUAAAAAUUAAAUAUCAUUCCGAAAAAUAGAGGCUUUCCACAAAAUGAUCCAAUAAAAUUUUCAAGAGGUGUUUGGAUGGACUUAAAGUUGGUCAAACUUAUUUUUAAGUCAAUUUUGACUUUUGAAAGUCCUUCGCAGAGCCACAUGUAGUUAAGGAUUUUAAAAACUAUUAUUUUAAAGUCUAUUCAAACGGGCUCUAAGUUAUGACUUUUGACUUAUUUUUAUCAUUUUAGCUUAAAAUUAAAUGGUUAUAAAUAUUUACAAGCUAAUUCAAAUACUUCAAAAGUAUUUAAAAUUUAUUUGGACUUAAAAAUACUUGAAAUAAGUUAAUUUCAACAUGCCAUCGAUGUUUGACCAAAUUUUUUAGAAGUGUUUUAAAUGUAACAACGUCAUUUCAUCAACCAAGCUUAUAAUUAUAGAUAAUCCAAAACCACAACUUCAACUAACACAUAAAAGAAAACAUGUUGACACACACACACACAUAUAUAUAUAUAUAUAUAUAUAUAGCAAAUAGAUUGACAAUAAGCUUUAUCGCCCCGCCGUGGCUCCUUUCAGCUUUAAGCGUACAGGCGUUAAUGCAACACACUCAUUCUCCUUAUUAUAUUCAGUUGGUAUAACCAUAAUAUAUAUAUAUAUAUAUAUAUAUAUAUGGUUCUCUUUCUCAAGCUCAAGGAAACGCCUUUAUUAAAACAUUACAUGAAAAGAAAUAAAUUAAAAUGACACAUAAAAUUAAACCAUAAAUCUCUCACAACUCAUAUUCCUCGCGAUCCAUGAGAAUCCAUUUUCCAUCUUCUUGUUGAACCAUCCCAUUGUGCUUCUCGACCCACCAAGCUCCCUAAUUAAAUAUAUUCUCCCUAAUUUAUGUAUUUUAUUUUUCCUACUUAUCAGAUUCAUUAACACUUCAUAUUUUAAAUAUUAAAUUAACAAAACACAAAUAAAUUGGCAGAUUUUGAAGUAGUAACUUCUUUUCUUUUUUUUUCUUGUGUUGCUGAUGAAAGGGGAAUGUUUGUCUUACUGAAUUUGGUUGGACUUGUGUUUCUUUUCAAUUACAAUUUUUUUUUAUUAUUCAUUUGAGAGUUUAUUGGAUUUAUAUUCAUGCCAAGAAGUUUUAUAUAGAAAGUAAAGCGCUUCUUAGCAAAAAAUAUUUCAUACUUAGAACUCAAACAUAAAUUUUUAAUUUAAUAAAUAAAGAAAUAUUCAUCACUUUAUAAUUCUCGUGAAUAAAGGGGUGUAAUUUUCUAUCUAGAACUCAUGUUGUUUGAUCUUUUUAUCUAUUUUUUUAAAUAAUUAUAUUUAAUAGAAUAUGAGCCAAAAGAACAUUUCAAAUGGACCAACCUAAUGUAUAGGUUUACAUUAAAUAGUGAGCUUCAAAUCCCAAUAUUUGGAAACUUUUUUCAUAGUUUAAAAUGAAUUAUUUAAAGUUUUCAAAAAAUUAUUGAUUUUUUUCAUGUUUACUUUUAAUUUUAUAUUGUCUAAUAGAAUAACUUGAAGAUAACAAAAAAAAUAGUAAAAAAGGGAUUACGUAAAUUUGAAAAACAUAUUUUUAUAUAUUUUUCAUAUUUACUUUUAACGUUACAUUUUUCAAUUUAUAUGAUAGUACAUUUUUAGCUAGUCACAAAAAAAUAUAGUUUUUAUAUUUGAUAGUAAUUUAAUUUUAAAAUAUUGUUUUAGCCUUUAAAUAUACCAUUUUUUUAAAAAAAAAAGUCUUUUUAAAUUACAUGUCCAAUCAAACAAUAUCUAUAAAUUGGGCGGGGAGUGAAUAUUCAAUACUUUCUCCAUUCCAUAUUAGUUGAUCACUUUACUAUAAAUAAUUGUAUCAUAUUAGUUGAUCACAUUACUAAAUCAAAAGAACAUUAAUUAAAUAUUUUCUAUAUUACCCGUUAAUAUUUUUUGAAAUUGUUGACAUUUGUUUGCAAAAUUUCCAAGAAAUUUUUUAAAAGGUAAAUUAGUAAAACUAUCUUCUUAUUUAUAAUUUAUUAAUAUUCAUGAUAAAAACUGAUUAACUAAUAUGAAACGGGGCCGUUUCAAGAUUCAAUUGUUGACAUGUCACGUUCUAAAGAGUCGUUAUUUAUGUGACAGCUUUAACUAAACUAGAAAGCGAAUAAAAGAGUCAUCCGGAAUGCAAGGAGGCUCACCACUGACUCUGAGUGUUCAACUGGAUCAACGAGGCGCUGGAUGCUGAUCCUGGUUACCUGCGUUUGCAUCAUAAGACGAUGCAGGCCAACUGGCAUCAGUACAUUGAAUGUACGAUUAUGCGAGUUGGAAUGCUAAACAACAACUUAAGCUUAGAAAAAAGUAAGAAGGAACACUUACCUUGGCUCUGUACAACUCAUGAAUAACUGAACUCAAUAUAAAGCAAUAAGACACAUGCAAUAUAUAUAUAAAGCUUGUAAAACAGUAUAAACAACUUAGUUCGUUAAAGAUAAAACAAUAACAAACUCAACUUUAUUACUUAUAUAUAAAAGUAAUAUAACUUUUGUGGAAAAUUCUCUAACCGACAACCACCACUAUGAGCCUAAGUGGUGAUACAACGUCUUGCCCACGCUGCCAGAACUGUCCUAUACUUUGCCGUCAUAUAAAACGCUUAACUUAGUGGAUCCACUAGUCUAUGCUAAAAGCAUCUUAAGGAGUCAUCUAAAAAGUAUGAUCCUUUACUACCCAUGAUGGCUACAUGGUUUAUGGAGACUUAAGUUACUAUGAACUCGCAUCCCCAUAUCGGUGCUCAAUACUACUCCCAAAAUAUACUUAGCUCAUAUGUUUGUAAAAGCAACACUCUUUCUUUGAAUUGAGAUAAUUAUUCAAAUAAAGACUCUUGAAAACUUUAAGAAACUUUGCUUUGACUUGCUUCUUAACUUCUAGACUUGACUCUUAACUUCUUUGACUUUGAUCUUAACUUUCCUUGAAUUGGAUUAUGGAUUCAAGGUUCAUGAUCUCAUGUUUAUGGAUGAUUUCAUGAUGUUUAGAUGUACCUUAGAGUGUUAGAAUCAACUAGGAAACAUAGGUACAUCACUUAGAAACUAGUACGAAAAGAUAGGGGAACAAUGGGGUGAACUGGCGUCCUUGGCGCUCUGAGAGGCGUGGGGCGUCAGGCCCCAAAUUUCAGAGGACAAGAUGGGGUGUGUUGGCUGGCGCGGUGCCCCAAGGCCAAAACUUCAGACACUGCUUUGGGGCGCUCUAGCUAGCGUGGCGCCCCACCCUUUUACCCAGAAAAUUAUGACUUUCUCCUUCGUUUUUCAUCUCUAAACCCUUAAAUCUUCCCUAGUUCAACACGAAUGUCCUUCAAGAACUUCACUUUUUAACAUGUGAACAACCCAAAAUCGCUGAAUUGAAACAAGUUGGUGUGUGGAUGAACUAACCCAUCACUAAAAGAACGCUUGACGUUCUUGGCGAAAUCUUGGCUUCUCUCCCUUUCUUUCUUCUUUUCUCUUUCCUCCAAGCCCUAAGCGUAUUCUAAUUUUUCAAAACUGAAUUAAGUUCUGUUUUUAAUGAAUUAGGAAAUUAAUUAGAGAAAAGACUAGUUUGCCCUUCCUUAAAUCCGGAUUGGGACUUUCCUCAAUCCAACAGCCCAACUUCCAAAAGACAUAUCUCACUCAUAUAAUGUCGAAAUCGCUCAAACUUGGUGGCGUUGAAAAGAUCUCUCCAAGGGUUUUCCAGCCAUAUCAAGAAAUGCUCCUAACUCAUCCUGAGCUAGGAGUUAUGGCCGUUUGAAAAUGGCCAAAACUCACUUUCUUAACUUAGACAAAAAUUUCCAGAUUUCCUUAUUCUUUCCAAAAAUCAAUAUUUUCAUAUUUUAAACUCUUUAUAAUCGUUUCUAGGUGCGAGAUGUUACAGCACUAGUGACCACUUUUUGGACGGUAGGAAUACUAGUGUCUCAAUAAUAUAAUUAAAAAUAUACGUAUAUCAUUUACAAUGAUUGGGGGUAUAUUUAUCUUUUUUCCCUUUAAAGAAAGAAUUCUCCUUUCUAUGAACGCCAAUUAGUUUUACAAUGUUGUUGUUUCAUUGUUUGCACAAUUAAUAAAACUGGGCCAGGUCAUAGUUAAUUGAUAAAAAAAAAAAAAAUUACAAAAGUAUAAGCAGAUAUUAACUUUAAUAUUUGUACAUAUUCAAAUGAAUUAAUUGACAUAAAUAUAUUAUUUAAACAAAAUCUAGAUUCACUAAAUUCACAUCAGAAUUACUAGCUCCGCUCUAUAAGUAUAAGUUCAUUUCUCAUUUUGAUUAACUAAGUUACAAUCAAAUAUUUGCAGGUUUCAAGACCAUCUCUGGUCUGAUUUGGGAAGAACGAACCUAGAGUUUAUUUGUAACGACCCGUUUGGUCGUUUUUGAGUACUAGAGCUUUUGAUUUCAUAAAAUACUUUUCGAUAGAUUCUAAUUUGGUAUUUUGGACUAUUUGUAACUACAAUAUGGAAUUAGUGGGGUUGUUUUAAUAAUGAAUUUAGUUGGUGGUUAAAGAAGAUAGCAUUAAAAUUAGUAAGAUUUAAUAUUUAUUAGUUCAUAAUUAGUUACCCUAGAUAAUUAAAAGCACUAACGAGAGAAACACUACCUGCGGCGUCAACCAGAAGCGACUGCCAUCCAGGUAAUGCUUCAUCUCUUCGAUUUCCUUAAGUAAUAUGUAAUGGGUUUAUAUCAAUUGAGUGGAAAUCCUUGGGAUGCAUUAAUUAUCCAUUUGUCUUAUCUAUUGAAUAUGUUGUUUGUCCAAUUUUAGUGAGUGAAUGUUAGGCGAUAAUUAUGAUGAUUAUUAUAGUAUUGUAAUUAGAUGAGACAUUGGAAAGAACGAGUGUGCAUUGGCAGUAGUGUUAGGGUGAAGUGUAGUUAUCAAUAGUAGGAGUGAUAAUUAUUGUUUUAUAAUUAAGGUUUGGAUGGGAAUUUAGAAUGGAUAGUAGCGGCAGGAUUGUGGGAGACAAACUUUUGUGAGUAAUUAUUGGCAAAUGUGUGCCAUUUCAACAUUUAAGAAUGAGGUUAUAGUGUAUUAUCAUAAAUAAGUUAGUUUGCAUUUUAUUGUUUUAGGGUGAUAUUCACAAUCAGUAGCUUAGCUUUAAUGUUCGUUAUUACGACAUAAUUGAAAUGAUGAUAUAUGGGUUUAAGUAAGUAAACUAUAUUAUAUUAUCAUAAAUAAGUUAGUUUGCAUUUUAUUGUUUUAGGGUGAUAUUCACAAUCAGUAGCUUAGCUUUAAUGUUCGUUAUUACGACAUAAUUGAAAUGAUGAUAUAUGGGUUUAAGUAAGUAAACUAUAUUAUAUUAUCAUAAAUAAGUUAGUUUGCAUUUUAUUGUUUUAGGGUGAUAUUCACAAUCAGUAGCUUAGCUUUAAUGUUCGUUAUUACGACAUAAUUGAAAUGAUGAUAUAUGGGUUUAAGUAAGUAAACUAUAUUAUAUUAUCAUAAAUAAGUUAGUUUGCAUUUUAUUGUUUUAGGGUGAUAUUCACAAUCAGUAGCUUAGCUUUAAUGUUCGUUAUUACGACAUAAUUGAAAUGAUGAUAUAUGGGUUUAAGUAAGUAAACUAUAUUAUAUUGAUAUCAUUAGAUUUAUGAUAUUUAAAAGAAUUGAGACUUAACUCUAGACUAGGCAUAUAGUGAUAUGAGGAUCGAUAGAAUUGUUUACUUACGAAUAAUGUACAAUUGAUAGAUCGAGAAACAUUCGAGUGUGAUGUGGAGGCAUGAGUCCUCGUGUGUGUGCUUGAUAUUGUGAUUGAUUACAUACUUGCUUCAACUGUCACUUGUGCAUGUUGUUGUUUCUUAUCACCUGCUAAGUGCUAUAGUUGACUUUAUACUAUUAUUCAUUGUAUAUUAGUUUCUAUUUUGGGUUGGCCGAUGAUACCUACUCAGUACAUGUUGCCCCGUACUGAGCCCUACUUGUAUUUUUCUUUGUUUUCCUUUUUUUUUGGAGUGCAGCGAGUGUACCAGCGAAUUUGACUCGCCCUCAGCUCUAGCCAGUCUCAGUAUAUCAGGUUUAAGGGUGAGCUAUUUAUUCGAGCUUGUGUUGGAUUCUCUUGGCCAUGACUUGAUGUCCAUAGUUUUCGGACACAAAUUACUUUAUUUCAUUUAUUUCGGUGUCUUUGAUUCUCUUAGACUUAGUAUUUAUAGAUUAUAUGUCCUUGAUGUGAUGACUUUCAGAUUUUGGGGAUAAUAUGUAAUAGACUUUAGAGGUUGAUUUGAUUGGUUACUGUAAUAAGUUUUGGAGCUUCCGCAUUUUAUUGUUGUUAUUUGGAGUUGAAUUAUUGGUAUAUGUUGGGGUUUAGAUUCCUUGGUUCGCCCACUUAGGAGGUCAAGUGUGGGUGCCACUCAUGACUCAAUUUGGGUCGUGAUAUUAUUCAUCUUGAUAGGUCCUCUCAUUUUAUUUAUUUUUUAUUUAUACAACAAUCAACCUUACUAUAUUUUAAUGCAUAAAUGAUCUCAAAGAAUUAAACGAUGCAAUAGCAUAAGUUACAAUUCAACUUACUUUAUGUAAUAAUGAAACAUAAAACUUAGCUAAAUUGUGCUCUAACAUAUUUUAAGAUCUAGAAAUAUGUAUAUGUACAUCUUUUAAACAAAGAAAAAAUCCUUUUGGUCAAAAUAUUUGAUCAGAAUUUGGCCAGAAUGAUAUUUUACUUAUGUUAUUUUACUUUUUAAAACAUUUUUACCCUUUUAAUUUUAAUACAUUUUAAUUAAAAAUAGAAAAAAGAUUAGUUUAUUUUAAAAUUAAAAAAAAAAUUAUAAUUUCUAACCAAUUAUUUUACCAAAUUUUCAAGCCAUUUAACAUUGCCCUUAAAUAAAAACAUAAGUUUUCAAAUAUCUUCAUAACUAAUCUCUACAACUAUACUUCUUUUCAGUAUCAGACAAAUUUAUAUCUUUGACCAUUCAUUUUCCAACGCGUUUUCCAAUGCAUCAUGAAUUAUUAUAUUCCCAACAAAUUAAAUUGGAAUAUUAAAAGCUUAUAAGGAAAUAACUAUCACUAUUCAUAGCCAUCCCAUCACUACUCAAUGCUUUCCAUCCUCUCAUAAUUGACUGUAUGAGAAGGACACAAUGAGUCUACAAGAACAUUUUAAAAAAAACACUUUCUCACACCUUAAUUACUUAUUUAUUUUUGAAUUGACACCUAUUUUAAAAAACAAUUAAUACUCCCUCCGUCCACAAUUAUUUAGCAGGUAUACUAAAAAUAGAUGUUUAAGAUUAAUUGUCAAUUUAAACAAUCAAGAAAUAAUUAGUCAAGUUUUUCCAAUUUUGCCCUUAAUGAUAGUGUAGUUUAAUUGAAAAGUUAAGUGAACUUUUGAUAUUCUUGGUAUAGUAGGGUUAUAUUAGUCAAAUUACACCUUAUAUUAAAUUUUCCUUAAGGGAUGUGCAUGACCUUACCCUGACAAACAAUUGUGGACGGAGGGAGUAACAUAGUGAGUUUAUCAUUUUACUCCUAUUAAUUAUGAAAUGAGUGAAUUAAAAACUUAAGAUUUUCAAGAACUUUUAUCUCUUUCAAAGUAAAUAAUUGAGGGUAUAAUAGAUUUUAAAAAAAAUUAUCCUUUCUUAAUUUGUCAAAAUAGACAAAUAUAACUAAAAAAAAAAUAGGCAAAUAAUUAAAAAAAGAGGAAAUAUUAUCUUUUCUUGCGUAUAUGUAUAUCUAAAAAAUUAGUACGGACAGAGGAAUUCAAUUCUUGAUUAUUGAUUAUAAUAUGCCUGUUGUGCUGUAAUUUUCCUAUUUUUAGAAAAAUCACUUUUUGAAAUGUUCUAAGUAUAAAAUAAUUUGAGAAAAUACUUAGAAAAGAAUAGCCACUUAAUUUUUUAAAGAAAUCAAGAAAAAUUAUAAUUUUCAAAGACCUAAACAGAAAAAAUCAUUUGAAAAUAUAAAAAAAGAUUCGUGAUUCAAUUUACACUUCGAGAAAGAUUUAAGCAUUCGAAAUAUCCGCUAACAUGCGAUUGACCUGCGACUUGACUGAAAUACAUUUGACUAUUUUAAAAAUAAAUAACAAAAUAAUGAUUUAACAUAAAAAUAAUAGCUUAUAAUAUAUUUGAUUAAGAAAAUAAUUAAAUAGAUGACGCAUUUUUUAUUUUUUAUUUUUAUUUAAUUAUUUUUAGAGAAGGGAACCCAAAAAUGAAACAUUUAAAUUAAAUUGCAAGUAAAUAGAAUUUUAACACAAUUAGGUUAAUUAGGAAUUGCUUGACUCAUUUUUUUAUUUUUAUUUUUAAAUAAUGAUUUAAACUCAAUUGGUAAAUUUAAACAUGAAAACCAUUUUUUAUUAAUUGAAGAAUAAGAGCUUUGACUAGCCUUUUUUUUUUUUUUUUGAGAAAAUGACUAAGUAAGAAGGGAACAUUUUUAGUUCAUUUGAGAAAAAAUAUUUUAACUUGAAACCACUUAAAAAUAAAAUGUGAUCAAGUGAAUCAGCCUUAAUACAUAUUUUUUAAGAACAAAGAUUUAACUUAAUUAAAAUAUAAAAUUCGACCAAUAUUUGAUUAACAAAAUAAGUGAACACAACAAGUGAAAUGUAUUAAAAUAAGCCAACACAAAGAAAAUGACUCGUUUUUUUGGGGAUUCUAAUUAAGUUAUUUAAAGUUAGAAUUAAAUAAGAUUAGUCAACACAUAAUCAAACACUUAGAGUAGUAAACGAGAUAAUGAAAUUGGGCCCCUUCUUGGGCCAAUUUCGCUGUAUUUUUAAGCCUUAAUUCAAUUCCCGUUUUGCGUAUAUACCGGAUGUAUAUCAGUGUAAAUGAGCAUAUAUAUUAGCUUUUUUCAUGUAUCUCUUGCUUCCGAACACCUGUAUUUCGCCGCAAGCCUGUAUUUUCACAUUUUUUUACCUGUAUAUGAGUGUAUACUGAUGUAUAUCAAUGUUUACAGGCUGUAUCUCAGCCUGUUUUCAGCUUUCUGAGACUUUUGUGUCUGCGUACUGUUUUGUGGAACCUUCCGAAACUCGAACAAAGAUAAAGGCCAACUCAAUAAUGGAUCUUAACUCAACGAAAUGCGGGGAUGGAGUCCCAAGUGGACUUGGAUAAAUUUACAUACAAAAAAAAGAAGAGGAAAACAAAUUAGUAUCACUCUAAUUAAUCAACUACGCAUGUUUGAUAAUUUGACUUUCCAAAUCAGUAACAACACUUCCAGGGGAAUUGAAAAUCACUUUACAAGAUUGACACUCAAGUGAUAAAUACAACAAAUUGCCUCCGUGAUUUGGCAUUAAUAUUUUAACAAGAUUAAGAGAAGAACAUGAUUCAGUACACUCAAGUAAUUCCUAAGGCUACUGUUAAUGUAUAUAAAGUUCAGAUCAAAUUAUUUUUGAUAAUGUAUGAGGGUACUGUAUCAGUUUUUAUGAGGGAAAUGAAACUAGAUACACACUGCCAAGACAUAACUGGAAGAUAACAGUACAACUUCUAGUAUUCAAGUAAUCUUAAAGCUUCGCAUCACUGUAGCACAAUAAAAGAAGAACUCAAACCAAUUGUCUGCUUUCGAACACCCAGUAACAAGUAAAUGCUUAAUUUAAAGUAAAACGAGGCGACACUCAUUGAACAAAUUCCUUUCUAAUGCUUAGUAAAAUUACAAACCAUGAAGAGAUGUAGAAUCAUUUACUCUUGUACAUCUAGAAGAGGCGGCAACAGACCCAUGUAACACCGAAACGAAGUCGAACACUUUUGAGUAUGAACAAACCAGUAAAUAAACUAGUGAGGUAUGACAAGAAUUUGCAUAAUUUGUUAAUAUGAAGGAAUAUGGUUUUAACAUUUUUUACAACUUUAGCGAAAGGAGUGGGAGAAGGGAUAAACAUGAUUCAUCAAUUUCCAGGGCAUUAAUCCAACAAUAAUAUAAUAAUACGACUAAAAAAUAAAGAGAUAGAGAAAGCUACUGAUCUAAGCUAAAUAGAAAGCCAAGGAGAUGAACACUUCGGGAGGUCUGGCCUUUUUCUUUUUUUUUUUUUAAAUAGAGAAAACAACAUUACAAUAGCUAAAUAAAGGAAACCAGCGAUGCUAAAAGACAGCGGAAACAAGAAUAUACAGAUUUAACGACAUCAAAGCAAGCAUACGAAAAGGAAAAUAGCAAAGCGCUUUCAAACAGAGGAGUAGAGGAGCAAUGAUACUAAAUACAUAACACAAAAUUAAAUCAAUAUAAAAACUCAAUCAUAGUAACCGACUAAGAAUAAUGCAUCAUAUCAGCAUAUCACUAACUCGGCACAUGAUAACGGACCAGCCACAGAACAAACAUUUUCCAACAUCGGAAAAUACCACAUCAAAAUAAAUGAAUAGACGAGAAUACUAUGAAGGAGGAAACAUUACCUUUUUUCCGGGCAGCGACUGAGACAACGUGCAGGGGGCAACUUUCCACGACUUUUCUACCACACUAGUGCGGACUCGAGCAGCCAAAAGCAAACGAAUAAAAACAAAACCAACUGACCUUUUGUAUGCUAUUUUCGUAUGUGAAAUCUUGCCCUCAAAAUCCAAUCUUUUUUUUUUUUUAUCAAUUUCGCCCCGCCCUUUAGUGAUUAACAAGGAACUAUUUAUAGAAGGGGAAAUAUGGUUCACGAUUUUUGGGGGGAAAACGGGUGAAGAACGGAUAGGAAUAGGGGCCAAUUCGGAAUUCCCCACAAAUUCCCAAAUUCAAAUUCUUUACCAGGAUUAGAGAACAGUUGGGUUUGGUACGAAAUUUCUUCCAAAAUCCCAGAAAAUCCGGACGAGGCAGCAGCGUGGACAACUUCGAUCAAAUCCACCGCCCUUGCGCUUGACGUGGCGCCAUCUCAUAGCCACAAGGUCGAUUGGACGCUGCUGGCAGGGCUGGAACGAGUUGGUGAGGGCAGAGGAGGGAGACGUGGAAAGUUGCUGGUUCCGUGAACUCCGCUGUGUGAUUUGACUCCGUUUGGUGUCGUUGCUGCUACUGUUCGAGUUACCGCUGUGUGAUUUGACUCCGUUUGGUGCCAUUUACUCGUUGCUUUGAUGUUGCUGCUGCUUUGUCGUUGAAAUUGAAAGGGAAAAAGGGGAUGGGGCCUGGUCAGGGGGAAUUGGGUCGAUUUGGAAUUGUUGUUUGGAUAUGUUGUAUGUGUAUUUUGAAUUGGAAUUGUGGGCUGGAAUAUGGUUGCUGCAUUGUUGUUAGGCUGGAAACUAUUUGUUGUACAGGAAAUUGGAAGUGGGCCUUUAGGAAGUGGCCCAAAAUUAUUCUUAAAAGAUGGGAUAAGCAAUUGACUAAAAAUUGUCAUUAAAUAAUGGAUUUCAAUUAUUGCCGAUUAGAAUUUAAUUGGUGAAUUCGGCUAAAAUUUAAACAAGAUGAGUUAAUACAAAUUCAUUAAUGAGCUUCUUAAUCUUAACGAAAUAAAAAAUAAUUAACUUAAUUAUAAACUAAUUAAUUCAAUUACAAAACUAAUUAACUCAAAAUUAUAACUAUAACUUAAAGUAAAUUAAUAAAAUAUUUAACUAACAUGUAAAAUCUUUUGUGAUGAUUUUCAAAUAUUUAUAAAAUAACGUGAUUGCAAAAAAUAUACAUAUUUAUUAUUAAAAAAUGAUAAAAUUACUUUAAACAUAGCUUGAAAGUAUUUUGAAUUUCAUAAAACUCAUUAAUUCAAAAUUAUAACCAUCUCUAAUAUUUAAAAUAUAAAAUCUUUUUUGAGGCGAUUUUCGAAUAAUCGUAAAAUAUACUAAUUAUAUACAUAAUUAUGUAAAACAUAUAUAUCAUCUAAGAUUUAUGAAAAGUGACAAACUAUUUAAAAAUCUUGCAAACUAUAUUAUUAUUAUUAUUUAUUUAUUUUCAUUAUUAUUACUUUUUUUAGAAAUUUUAUAAAACUAAUAAUUUUAAAUCGUUUGAAAUUGGAGAUGCUCUAAAUGAUUAAUUUAUAUUGUGGAGGGUCAAAAUUGGGUGUCAACAAUGCCCUAUUUUCAUAGAAAUAUUAUUUUAUUCAAUAAGCAUAGUGCAUGUAUAAUAGUAUGUCUUUAUCUUUACAUGGUUUAACUUUUAACAUAUUGGAUCUUAAUUUAUUAAUUGCAUUGUGUCUUAAUCUACUUGUACGAUAUAACAUGGUUUAACUUUAACAUAUUGGAUCUUAAUUUAUUAAUUGUAUCUUAAUCUACUUGUACGAUAUAAUUAAGACAUUGCUAUGUAUAAAUACACAUAGAUAAAAUCUUACCAACAUUAGUUAAUUAGAUCCAAUAUCGCUAUAGGUUUUAAAGACAUUUACAAAAAUAUUAAGUGCUACUUAAAACGUAAAUGUAAUAUUAAUUAUAACUAAAGAUCAUUUUCGGGGGGAAAAUGAGUAUCUUUCUUCCAACUUUUAUUAUUGAUCGAUGGAUCAGUGGAACUAUAUAUUCAUAUUUUAUUUUGUAACUAAUUACUACCUAGUACUAAUUACCAUACAUUCUUAUCUUUAAGUUUUGAAUUCAUUUAACAGAUAUUUACUACUUGUUUAUAAAAAUAUUCAAUUUGAGGAUUGAGCUAGAUGUUUCAAUAUAUUCAAUUCUUCAUUUCUUUGCAUGAAAUAAUUCAUCGAUUAAAUUUAUAACUCGCCUUAUCACAUCAUGCAUGUGAAAUAUAUCUAAUAUAUGAGUAAAUAAUAAAUUUGAUUGAGUUCUUUUAACGAUAAUCAUAAAUGAUGUGCUAAAGGGUCUGAAAUUUAAUUAAGUACAACAUUUAAAUAGCCCUUCUUAAAAACAUGUAUACAAAACAAGUUUAACUUAAGGUGCAGAAAGUACAACUUAAUUACAACACACUCAUAUGCAUUAUUGCAUAUGAUGUGUUCGCAAUAACCCUUUAUUCAAACAUUACAUGGAAUUAAAGAAAUAAAAUUAAAAUAGCAAGUACAUUAAACUCCAAAUUAAAUUAAACCUCAGCCACAACUAUGUCAUACUCCUCUCGAUCAUUGAGAACCCAUUUUCCAUCUUCUUGUUGAAACAUUCCUUUGUUCUUCACAGUCCACCAAUUUGCUGGGACAAGAUACUCACUUUUCAAUGCACCUGAAGAUUUGUUAACAAGCGCGAUAUCACGAUCCACCUCUAGUUUAAAACCUGUUAAAAGUCCUAUACCUUGAGUUCCCGCAACUCCAUGCAUGUAACACUCCAAAUUAUGCCAUGUGAGGAUAUCUCCAGGGAGAUUUAAAUAAGGGGAUUUUGUGGUGUCGAUUAUUAU